UUGAAUUGGUUGCUAUCUACUAUGGGGUAGCUAAUGGCUUGAUUAGCUUGAACUCCUCGAUUGAACUCCUGUGUGUGGUGCAAGGGCAGAUCUGACAAAGCACUCUUGAACUCUACGAAGUUACAGAUUGAUUUGAUCUCUAUGAUCUAUAUGUUAUAUAUGUCUAUUUAUUUAGAAUUAUAUCACUCUCUGUGUUCCCUGUUGGCAAGUCCCAUACGAGAAAUGCUUCUUAACCUCAUCUAUUUUCUUCAUUAAAUUUGAAACGCCGUACGCUGGAUUACUUGAAACCACGAGCGCAUAUGGCUAUCUCCUAUAUGCAUUUGGCUUUCAAACGGAGUUGUGCGUUUGUAUUUAUACAUACCAGUUAGUACUAUUAGUCAAGUGUAAACUAUACAGAUUCUUAAAUUGACAGAAAACUCAGCUAAUUUAUAGGGCCCGCUUGAAUGUGUUGAUGGAUGACGAAUAGUUGACCGACUUUGACACAAAUGAAUUAAUAACUGUGAUCAAAGUUGAAAAGUUCCUUUCAAAAACUAAGAAAAAUCUCGCUCUCUAAUUUAGAGUGUCGGUUAUACUAUACCACAGUCCCAAGGGGGAGCAACCGGCCAAGGCCUCCCGCACAGGCAGAGCACAGCCGGUCAGCCACACUGCCCAGGCACCGGCACGCGAUCAGCGAGCGGCGGCCGGCGGCGGAGCAGCAGGCCGCGCGGUCAGCAGGCGGGCGCGCCCUCCUAAUCCCCCGGCCCCUUGCAGCACAGCCAGCACUACACCCCUUCUCUGCGCUGCGCAUCCCUGGGCUGGGCUGGGCUGGGCUGGGCGACUCACCAUCAAUCGGCGGGUUGGUGGCUGCUCUCUUCACCCCGCCGAUUGUGCUCAGUUCAUUCUCGGUCUUCCUUGUACUCGGUCUCUUCAUCGGCGGGAAGAAGCUGGCCAGUUCAUUCUAACUGCCCUCUCCUACUUUCGUUCGUCAUGUUGUUGUGCUGUUAGGAAAACACUAUGGACGGAUUUUUGUUUGAGUGCUGAUACUUUCCUGUAAAUUUACUUCUUAAAUUAUCACCCUCGGCUGAAAAGUCAUGAUUUUACUGAUUUAUUGUAAGAAGAAAAAAAAAACACUGCUAAUCGAACAGACCUAUUACUUUGGUCAAGUGAUGCUUUGAUCCAAUAUUUUGUUUCAUGGCCUUUAUUAACAUUAAGUUGUUUAUGAUAUACUCAUACGUGCCUUAUCAAGUUGUGCGCUCAAAUUAUGCCAUAUGUACCGUGGGUGUGAUUUCAUCAAGUUGUUUAAAACCAAUUAUUUACUGGUAUUAUGUUACUUUUUAUGAAAUCAUGCGUAUUUAUUAUUAUUAAAAAGAUAUUCGACGUAUCUCUGUGUCAUUUUUUUUUUGAAGAAUUGCAUGUCAUAUACGAUACAUGUACCCGUAUCUGGGCAAAUGUUCAUCAUUGCUACUAAAUGCCUCAAAAGGAUAGUACAAUAUCUCACUCUACUCGUUUGAGUUUGAGUGAUUUAGGCUUUGUUUGGAUAUUAUAGUAGUUAGAACUCUAGUUUUAGAAGUCACUAAUUUGCGAAACUAUGGUUUAAAAGAGGAGUCUAGAGUGGAAUUUUUAAAAUUCCAAAACACUAAAGUUUUAACAAUACCAUGGUAUUCAAACCAUGAUAUUUCUUACAUCCAAAUAAUUCAUAUCACUCUAAACCCAAAGUAUUUCACAGAAUCAUGAUAUUUUCUAAAACUUCAAAAAUACUUCAUAUGUAAAAAGGGCCUUUAGUGUUUUUCUUGACCAUUACAUCUAGGUGCAACCAGAGGCAAGCCCAGCACUAGACCGUGCAACUAGCUUCAUCAUACUAAGGGUUUGUUUAAUUCCUCUUGCUAAAUUUUAGCGAGCUAAAACUAUUUAAGCUACUUUUGGGUGACUAAAUUAUUUUAGUUUUUUUUUAGUUAGUGUGUUUAAAAUUUAGUUACUAAAUUGACUAAAGUUUAGCUAGCUAAAAUUUAAUAAGAGAAACUAAACAGGACCUAAAUAUGGACAGUUCUAUUAUUAGAAUGUCCGACUUAAGGAAAGGGUGGCUAACAUCUCACUUCUCUUUUUUUGGCUUAAAAUUGCAUCAAUGGAUCCGUUAUCUCCUUGUCCCCACCAGGCUUUUGAGCUGAAAAACACUUGUAAUUGUUUUCCUUUUAAAGGAAGUUUGAAGAGUAUAGUUUAUUUUCUAUGAAAGUCGAUUUAAGCUCGGUUCAUCUUGCUAGGCUCGGCUAGACGUUGAAAAUAUGUUAGAUCAGUUUCAAAGAAAAGCUGAAAACAUGUAAGCUGACUCAUCAUUAUCCACCCGGUGCAUAUAUUGCAAGCAAAAACAAAAAAUAAUAAUAAUUUAUCUCAUAAAACAUUUAUGGGAUGGUCUUAUGAUUGACAAGCACGCCUGUAUCGGAUGAUCUGAACCGUCAGAUUAUGAUUCUGAUGACUUGACGAGACGGGUCGGUUGGACAGGCCAAAACCAGGCAUAGCGAUGUCCACUUCGGGGCAUCUGUGUCUUUUGGGUUUGGCCCAUUUCUUCGCUUCCUUCCGCAACCGUGCGUUCCAACCCAACCCCCAACACCCCAAAUCGCAGCAGUUUCACUGCGCCACAGUACAAUUCCUGUCGCGCACCGCCCGAGCCGGCCAUAACAGCGACAGGCCCCUCGCGCCGAUCGCCGGGCAAUGGGAGCUGGGCGGGGGCGGUGAUGGGCGCGGCGGGCUCCAGGCUGGAGAAGGCGCUGGGCGAGCAGUUCCCCGAGGGCGAGCGCUACUUCGGCCUCGAGAACUUCGGCAACACCUGCUACUGCAACAGCGUGCUGCAGGUACGCCGGGGCCGGCGGCCCGAAUCUCUCUCUCUCUGCUCGUUGCGAUGCGAGCUGCUACCCCCGUCAGAGGCGUGGCGGAUUUGUUGGUUCUCUUCCGUGCGGGGGCGGUGUGGAGCGAUGCCUGUUUCGCGAGAUCGUGUCGCGGUGUUUGCGCCCGUGUGGUGCUCGCGCCGAAGAUCAGCGCUAGAUUUUCUGCGUGGGGGAGUUUUUGUGAUUGUUGAGCGGUGCCGGUGGUAUGUUUCCUGUUCUAUUUUUUUGCGACAUGAUCAUAGAUCGUCAUAUUUGUGUGAACCGAGAGACUGCUCAGUUGGUUUGACAUCGGGAAAUUGGGGAAACGCAUGGUUUCUGUACGUGUUGAAGUAGCACCUCGUUCAGCAGCAGGAGCGUUGCCUCACUUCAGAAACCCUUUUUUCUUUUUUCUUUUUUACAUCUAUGGAUUGUGGAGGACUCAUAGCUUCUGUAUGUAUUGACAAUUUAAAAUGCAUGUGUUAGCAUCAUGGUAAAACUCUCUGUUCAGAUGUAGGAGCUUUGACACGGAUAGUUAGAUGUGGAACAUUUUGGUCAGUAACAUUUAUAGAAAGAUAUGAUACUGUUCUCAUAAUGUGGGAUCUAACUGUUUCCUGUUUCAGGCACUUUAUUUUUGUGUUCCUUUCCGUGAUCAAUUGCUGGAGUACUAUGCAAACAACAAAAACACCGGAGAUGUUGAAGAGAACAUGCUAACCUGCCUGGCUGAUCUGUUCUCUCAGGUACUACUGCAGCUAUUGGUUGUUGUGAUUGUUAUUCCCGUUCACAACUUCUUGUAUAUCCUUCAACAUGUAGGAAUCACUAAUAAAACAUGUUGAAUCUUGUGUGGAAUUGUAGAGGUUUUGGUUAAUUAAUCACAAGUUGUCCUGAGCGAAACUGUAUCUGAAGAUGACUGCAGUUAUUAAUUGAUCGCAUGUAUAUUGAAUAAAUACCAUCGGAUUUCCUCCAAUAAAGUUGCUGGUUAAUUUGACAGUUUCCCAUGAUAUGCCUAUAGCUCUACUCGUUGUUAUAGAGUUAAUUUGUUCUUCCUUAGUUUGAAAUCGCAAAAUGAUGUUCCAAAGUAUAAAUUUCUACAGUUUAACCACAUAACACUCGAUGUGCAAAAUUAGUCUUCAGCAAUAAACUACCAAUAUGGCCUUGUAUCUCUUACCAUCUAAAGUGUAAGAGGAGCAUGCUAGAAAGGAGCACUCUGUGUUAUUUGGAUUGUGUAUCUUCUUCUUGUAACCUCUGUAAAUUGAUGAUUUGGACUUCUCGAGAAAAUCUGUAAUUUAAUAAACCUAAACCUGGUUCUAGGAGUAAUGCCCAUUAAAUGAGAAAAUUUCAUAGGACAUGCUCCAUUGUUGCCUUACUUUACCACUGACUUUUCACAGAUAAUUUUGUGUUAGCCUUUGUACUGACAGAUAUUUAUGCGCUCGUCAAUUGUAUUGUGGUUUUACACUAUUUUUAAGUCUGAAAUAUGUACAAUGUUUUGGGAAAAUCCUUUUAUCUGGAGGCCUCUUACUUGUUUGAUACAAGUGAAUAUUGGAUGGACUGAGGAAGAAACCAACAGUCUACUUCAACAAAAUAAUUAUCCCUUUUUCAUUGUCCAUACAGAUCAGUAAUCAGAAGAAGAAAACAGGGGUUAUUGCUCCUAAGCGUUUUAUACAACGAUUGAAGAAACAAAAUGAGAUUUUCCGCAGCUAUAUGCAUCAGGUAAUACAUUUCGCCAGUGACGUCUUCCAAUGUGUAUUUUGUAGUUUUAGCAAGCACGCGGUCACAUUAUAGUGUGCUCAUCACCUUUUGAGUAACUUUGCUGGCCCUCUGAGAUAGCUGUUAAACCUAGGUGCAGUCUUUGUAUGAAUCACUGUUUAUUUCCAGAUGCGUUUUUAAGUAAUUUCCACGUGAAAUGAUGCAAUACUGAAUUCAAGGUUCUAUAUUAGUAUAUAUUUUCAACUCCUUGCAAUACCGAGAAAUCAUGGGAACCUUCUAUCUGAAUCUUACUGUACCCUAUGUUCCAUAAAUAUAUUUGCUUAAUAGCACCUGGAGAUGGUUCCCUGCUAGAUUUACGGAGAAUCUUAAGCAUUUUAGAAUAAGUUCUGGAUUUGUAAAGGCCAUCUCUAUUUUGGCUAUUUAUCAGUGAUUAACUGAGAAUCCUGGGUAUAUGAGAUAUGGUAAUAACUAAUACCUAAUAACUGUGAAGCAUUUUAAGACAUGUUGAAAAGAUAUGUAGUUAAUUGUUUUUUAUUUAUGAAAUAUGUAGUUAAUUGUUGCUAUAAAAAUCAUCUUCUCUUCCAAGAUCAUGCCAUUUAUAUUAUGCUUUUUUCAAUCAUUGUAGUGUGACCUUUUUCGUAUAGAUUGUGAACUCACACUAAUGUACUUUACAGGAUGCUCACGAGUUUCUGAAUUUUUUGCUGAAUGAGCUAGUUGACAUUCUAGAGAAGGAACAUAAUGCUGCAAGAGAACCUCUUCAAAAUCUCCCAUUCCAAAAGAAUUCAAAUGGCACUAUUGAUGGCCAACCCAAUGGUAGUCACAAAGAAUUAGCUGCCACAUGGGUUCAUAAAUGCUUCCAGGUGAGAUUUCAUUCAUUUGUUCUAGCAUGCUUUUGUUUGUGUGCCUAUAAUUCUUAAUUUUGUUCCUGUAGGGAAUAUUGACUAAUGAAACAAGGUGUCUGAGAUGUGAAACUGUGACUGAUAGAGAUGAAACAUUUUUUGACCUGAGCCUGGACAUUGAACAGAAUAGUUCACUCACCAGCUGUCUUAAGAACUUCAGCUCAACAGAGACUUUGAAUGCUGAGGACAAGUUCUUCUGUGACAAAUGCUGCAGGUAUGUUGCCCAUAUUUUCUCCAUGUAUAUAUUGCCUUCUAAUAUUUUGUCCUGGCUAACAUUGGUUCUGUAGAAUAUCCUUUGAGGCAUGUGUUUAUGUUAGUUCUUGGCUCCGCUUGUUUUGCUUUUUUUUAUAAAAAAAAUGUGCUUGAAUAUACUGCAAAUUAUCCAAUACCUCUAGCAGAUCUUCUGGGCUAAUGGCUUGGUUACCCUUCUGUUAGGAGAUGCUUUUGUCUGGCAUAAUUGUGAUUUAUAUAUUGUAAUUGCUAUUUCAUUUUUCCAAUUUCAUAUGUUUUGAUGAAUUUGUUCUUCACUUCAGUUUACAGGAAGCACAAAAAAGGAUGAAGAUAAAAAAACCACCAAACAUCCUAGUAAUUCAUCUCAAACGGUUCAAGUAUAUUGAGCAGCUUCAGCGCUACAAAAAACUAUCAUACCGAGUGGUUUUCCCACUGGAGCUUAAACUUCUUAACACAGUUGAUAAUUCGGACUUGGAAUACUCCCUUUUCGCUGUGGUAGUUCAUGUUGGAAGUGGGCCAAAUCAUGGCCACUAUAUCAGUUUGGUUAAGAGCCACAAUCAUUGGUUAUUCUUUGAUGACGAGAACGUUGAGAUGACUGAUGAGUCCAUGGUACAGGCAUUCUUUGGCUCACCGCAAGAGUUCAGUGGUAACACUGAUAAUGGCUACAUACUCUUCUACGAAAGCCUUGCUGAAAGAAGUUGAUGUCCUUCUCAUACCAAGUGAUUAGCUAUACACUUUUCUUUUCCUUCCAUUUCUGCUGGGGAUAUAUAGAAUAUUCAGUGAAAACUAGAAUAAGCUGAAUGAGAGGCCUUCAGCUUCAGAUGUUGUAGUACAAUCAAUACCUGGCAAUAAAACAAGUUACCUUGAGGGGCUAUAGGCUAUAGCUGAAGACGCCGACUAGUUUGUAGUUCCAACUUUAUCUGUUUUUAUGCACAUACAGGUUGUAUCAAUUCCGGAAUAAUGUUUGUUGAAGACCUUUAUUAUCAUGUAAUAUUUUAUCUAGGAAGCCUUUUUUGGUUUCGAGUAAAGAUUUUGUUUCUUAGAUGAAAAGAUCCUGUCGAUCUUCAUUAGGAUCCUCACCUGCUCAUCGGUAGCUGACACAAGUCCUGUACAGUUUCCAGAUUACCUCCUUUGUGUUAUUGUGCCCUGCUCCUAUGGUACAUAACAUAUUUCAGAAUUUUGAAGAUGGAUCUGAGAUUAUCUCAGAAGCUACAUAUUGGUUGAAUUCUGAAUGCUUUUAUGCAUAAUAAAAUAACUGGCCGGGGGGGGGGGGGGGGGGUAUCUGUCCUUUGUAUCUUCUUUUUUCUUUAAGUGCAAUCUGUCCAUUGUAUCUGGAGAUAAGAUACGACACAGCCGAAUUUGGAUGCUGUAGGCCUGUUAAGGGCCUGUUUGGAUGCAAAAGUAUGUUUAGGGCCUGUUUGGAUGCAAAAGUAUGGUUAAGGUUUUAGAAAAAUAACAUCUAAAAAAUUAUCAUUGUUGAUCUCAGGAGAGAGAUACAACAUUUGUACAGAAAUAAUUUGGUUUUGAAAAGCUAUGACGUGUCUGGCAACGAUAAACCCUGUGGUUUUGAAAGUCAUGACGUUGUUAAAACGGUAGUAUUCGCACACAGGACACAGCAUAUAGAUUCUAGAGUAUAGCUUGGGGCAUUACAUUAACAUAGGAUGUAAUGGCCAUGAUCACUUGGAUGAAAGCUAAUAAAUACAUUUGAGUAGUUUCCCUGUUUGGAAUGAAGGAAAAAAACACAGAAAGAGGAUAGGAAUGCAAUGAUAGAAUAGAGGAUAGAAAAAACACACGAAUUUCAUAGAAGUGGGUGUUUGAAAACACAUGAAUACAAAGAGUAUAUAUGAAAUAUAUGAACCAAACAGUAAUCCCAUUUUAUUAGUUGUUGUGCCAAAUGGUGGGCCCACUCAAUAGUUGCCCCACGAGUCAUCAAGCCUGCUCUUCAUCUUGAAUCAUACAAGCCUGCUCUUCAUUUAGGGCUUGUUUGGCACAGCUCAACUUCACUAGUAAAGCUGUUUUUUUAGAAAAUAGCUUCAUGAGUGACUUUCUAGAUGAAGCUAAGCUGUUUUGGAAAAAGCAUUUGGCAAAAUAGCUUCACCAACUACUUCAUGCAUAGUUGAGAGAGAGAAAUGAGGGAGAAGCUACAAUAAGCUACUUUUUUUCAGCUUCAUCCAACUUAUGUUUUUGUGAGAGGAGGGGAAAAACAGCUUCACCCAUGAAGCUGUUUUGGAAAUAAGUGUUUGGCAAAAAAAAACAGCUCACAACAGCUCAUGAAGUUGUUGUGAGCUGUACCAAACAGGCCCUUAGUAGUGAUUAUAUCACUAACAAUGAACAACCCUCAAAGACAUAGUGGAAACAAAUCCAUGCCAACAAAAAGAAAUUAUAUGAGUGAUAGUAGUGUAAACUCUCCUGAGCAUAGUUGGGCACCCGUCAAUAGGCAGUGCCAGAAGUUCCAUGCAAUUUCGAGGCGGUCGAGUGUUGUAAAGAGAGCGAGUUUUUCUUCGUACGCACUGAUUGAUUUGAUUUCGAUGUGAGCCUACUGUAAUUGCGUGGUAGCCUGAUAAGUGAUAAGCACGGGCACGGCUGCAAGAGCAAAAGGACCAGUCAGAAGCAUUUUAAGCAGAAUUUCGCUUAGAUUCAGUCAUGUCAAUGCCGGACGAAGCAGCAGGCGACGGUUCUCGCUGAAUCAUUGGAUCGGCCGUUGGUACUUAAUUUCUGCCCAAAUGUUUGACACGUAUUCCCUCAGUCGCAUAAUAUUUCAUCUUCUAGCCUAUAGUAGCUUCUUUACGUGCCGGUCUCCUCGGAUCAGCUGAUGAUCAGGGGAAGGUCGAAGGUGAAUGCGUCACCGCAAAUUUCAACGUCGUUACAUUAUAAUAUCCAGGUAACCGGCUGUUUGUUGAUUUCGAACUAUAGUAUCCCAGUCUCAAAAUGUAAAUGAAGCAAAAUCAUUGCUUGAGAAAACAAGUCCCUGCAUCCUCUGAAUCCAACGGUAGCGACCAACGCUUUGUUUAAUUGCUGCUACUGUUGCACGUAGUGUCUGCAGGCAAACGUAUAGAAAUGGCAUGACUGACUCCAUGCCCCUCUCCAUAUAUAGAGGAAAGGUCCAAGCCAUAAAAGAAUUUCAAGGAGAAUUUGUGUCUUUAUUUAGGAAUAGAAAAAGAAGACCUUGACCCCUGAAUUCCCCCCUGAUCACGACUCGCGCGGACACUACUCAGCAGGUCGAUUACUCAAAAAAACUACUCAGCAGGUCGUGUCUCCGGCAUGACAAAGCUCUGAAAAAGCGCAUGCCGAUCGAUUACAGCAGCUUCAUUGGCGUUCAUUAUUCAACGGUGGCAGCGCCAGCGCCAGGGGAUGCAACCAAAGGUUGGCUGCUAAAGUAGGCUUCUCUCUUUGACCCAGUGGUGUGACGACGACAGGGAAAGCUCGCAAAACCAUCCAGGCAUCUGAAUCGACGUAACGGGAAUGCGGGUUGACACUGUCACAUCUGAUCUGAGCUUGACUAGCACAAACUGUCUUUUUGUGGACGGUGAGAGUACUUAUGUAAGGCCUUGUUUAGUUUGCAAAAUUUUUUGGAUUUCGAUAUUAUAGCACGUUUAUUUUUAUUUGACAAACAUUGUCCAAUCAUAGAGUAACUAAGUUUAAAAGAUUCAUCUUGCGAUUUUACAGACAAACUGUGCAAUUAGUUUUUGUUUUUAUGUAUAUUUAAUGCACCAUGCAUGUGCCGCAAGAUUCGAUGUGAUGUGGAAUCUUAACAAAUUUUUGGGAACUGCCUGAAGAGAUGUUGUGAAUUCGUAUAAGGUUUUAAUAAUGUGCUAUGCUAUUUAGUGAUGGACUCCUUAAAAAGCUGUAAAAAACCGCAACUACAUUUAAUAGAAUUCACAAAAAAAAACUUUUCAUUUACCGGUUUUGCUAAAAGUUAUCAAUUAGUUCUGCAAAAAAAAUAGAAUUAAGAUACUCAAAUACAUGUUUAGAGCUCUAGGAAAAAUGUCAGCAGCUCAAUUACUUUACAGUCAUCUAAUCAAUUACGUAACACUAUAACCAACAUUCAUAUUCAUUCAACAGUUAACUCAAUAAUUAUACAAUAGUUCAUUACGGCCCCGUCACGUACGGCUUUAGGAGCCGUUUGAAGACGUUUUAUGCUAAACGAGAUAAAAUAGAAUGACUCCAUUAAUGAAGUCCGAGUUUUGAGACGUGAAUGAGCCAAAAAAUAGUGGCUUCUCUCGGCUUCACCUCAUCCUACGUGGCGUUCUGUGAGAACACAUUUUAAGAAAAGAAUUGUUUUGUCAAACAAUUUACUAAAAUGGCUCCAACUCCACCGAUAGAGUUGUUCAUGGAGUUGAAGCCCCCAAAAACACUGGUGAAGUGGAUCCGUGCCAAACAGGCCUACAUUAUGUAUUAAAUAAAUGCACAACUGAGAUGCAUAUAUUCCAUUAAUCUAAAGCAAAGGAUGAAUAUUUGCGUCGGCCAAAAUUAGAGGAGAUAAAGAAAAACUUGCGGCUAAGCCAAAUAAUGGUGUUUAUCAGAGCUAAAGCGUCCGGAUGCCUACGAUUUCAAUUCCACCAGGCGCACCAGGAAUUCACCGAAGUGGACGGCGGUCGGCGGUAAACAGAGCUGAAUUUCUAUGCACGGAUCGAUUUCGAUGUGAGGCUGAUAGAGUGAUACGCGAUCGCAGGUGAAGACCUGGCAUGGUAGGUCAAGGCGGCCGGCUGCAAGCUGCAAAUGGAUCAGGGCGGCCCUCCUCCUCGGGAAGAGUGACCGGUGGCCGUGGGUGGAAAACCGGCGCAGAGUCUACAGCGACGAACACGAACUGGUGUCGGCGCACGACGCUUCCGAUCGAGAUGCCUGCAUCACAUGCCGCCCUGCGCUGCGCAGGUACGGGAAGGAAGAAAAGAAACGCAGGAAUUCGCUUGGUUUCAGUCAGGUCCAUGCCUGACGGCUAAUAAAGAAGAACACAUCUCCAGCUUGCCGAUAGAUAAGAGCAAUGCAACCUGCCCACCAUGCUGCAUGUGCGGAUUGCGGCUAUCCUGUCUGCAGGUGUCCAUGCAUCUCUUCUCAACUUGAUAAGGGCUCUAGCAGAUCUAUGAUUCAACCUUGGAAACGAGUUGCCGCCAGCUGCUGCCCGGGUGACUCUGUGUGCCCCUGGCGUCGUCUGGCCUCGUGGUCUCGCAUUCCCGCGCGCGGUGCCGGCGGCGCCGCGGCGGCCGCCUCCAUCUGGUCGCCGCAGGUCUCGGGAGCAAAAAAACGUGGCGCAGAGGGAUGCCGGAAUGUGAUGGAGAUAGACUAACGAAGCUGCUGCGUGCUCAAUGACAAGGCAGCAUCUCCGUUUUGUCUUCCGCUGCUGCAGCAGGGAGUUGUACGUGGUUGACCAGGUAAGCUUGUGGAUUUUUGUAGGGUUCAAUUCAAUUCACUUCUCAUACCUUUCAGAUGCCGAAUUUGCAAUAUGUACUUUUUUCAUUGUUUAUAACUGUAUAAUUUGUCUCAUGUGAAUUGUACUAGUAGUUGAUUGUUUAAAGCAUUAUCUGAAGAUUUUUUUUUUGUUUAGAAAGGCAUUAUCUGAAGAUUCAGACAUUAAAAAAAAAAGAACUUCCAAGAUUCUUUUUUCAGAAGAGGGGGAUCAAAAUUGCGUCUUUGUCCUGUCGAGUAGUGAACUUUGCAGGAGGUUAAAACACACUAGCACUACUAGUUAUUCGCGCUUCUGUUCUAUCAGCAGAAUUUUUGACGAAAAUGAAUCAACAGAAUUUGCAGAGUCGUCUUUCCUGACAGAAAUUCAGAACAGAGGCAGUGACAACUGGUCCUGUAAUGGUUUUCGCGGAAGCUUUGGACUGGUACAUCCUGCCCAAAAGUUUGACAUGUAUCGAAAACUGAAUAAAAGAAGUUGACAUCUAAGGACCUGAGGUAGUAAUGAACAAACUUCUCGUAAUAAAAGAAGGACCUGAGCGAUGCCUGCAAUCAAUAAUUUUAUUUUGAACUGCUUUGUGUAUUUCAAUACGGAGUACUAACUACUAUUAUAGUCUAAACUCCGGAUUAAGGAAACUCAGUUCUGCACAUGAAACAAGUUGUACCUUUCACUUCCAUAAAAAAAAAAGAUAAUCAACCCUCCCUCCUAAAAGCUUACGGCUACACCGGAGGCACGCUUGUUCCUCUGCUGGCGUCCAUCAGACGAACAUGGCGUCAGCAGACAACUUUUGGAGAUGACACGACAUUUGUCCGGAGAUGGCGGUGUUUUGUGGCUUUCGUCUAUGGUCAACACAUGGCGGUGUUCCUCCAAUCCUCCUCCUCCAUGUCGAAGCUCUAGAAAAAGUGCAUUCUUGCUGAUCAGUUACGAGAGCUUCAGUGGUGCUCAUCAUCAUCGUUAAGGAUGGCAGCGUCACGAAACCAAAAGUUCUCGUAGUAAGGGGACUACAAGCAAGAUAUGAGAGAGGAAACCAGUUCUAGGUCUCGGCAUCGAGGAUGAGAGGAUGAACACGAGCGAUGAUGUGCUAUAGUUCUCUCAUGGAUGUCUGGAUGUGUAUUUAUGUGCUGCUGGUUGUCCCUCACCCCCCUUGAAUGGGACCCUACCUUCUCCUUUUAUAGCUCCUAAGGAGAGGUAGUAGAUACAUGUGUAAGUAUGACUUUGAUCUAAGACUAGAAUAAGGUAUGGUGUCGUAUGGUAGCGGUGUGGCCCUCCAUUCUUUGCGUUGUAGUUGAUCUUAGUCGUCGUAUGAGCGUGCCUCUUCUUGUAACCUCCGUGCCGAGCCAUACCGACUUUAUGGACGGGACGUAAGUACCUAUAGCGGUCAUGCCGACCCCUGUUCGCUGUCCGGCGUGGACUCCCGAGGCCUCCUCUUCCGUGGACCAUGCCCUGGAGUCUGACGGACGCGUGGCCACAGGAGUUCGGAUUGACGUCUAAGCGUCAUCUCUAGUCUCAGCCGUAUGCACAGUGACAAGAGCAGGUAGCAUAACGACGGAAGUGUGUAGCAUAGUGCUUGUCAUGCCCUGCUCUGCACAACAUGGGUGUGGUCGUGGGGAUCUAUCUUGCGUCCCAUCUGUUGUACCACGGUUCUAUAGUGGAUGACGUCAUUGGAGAUCUCGAGCGCACCAAUGGAGUGAAGGCAGAAAUCACUUAGCGUCCUCUGAGGUUCGGGUGUCGGGCCUCGGCGGAGCGAAGAUGGUUUGGUCUCGUCCACGGCCUGAGAGCUGGGCCUCGAGCGAGGCGGAAAUGGUAGGCUGAUGUUCGAGUCUCGGGUGAAGUGAGAGUGACUGUCUAGCCUUUUUGAUUUAUUGUAAAAAAAGUAGAAUAGAGUUCUUUGUUCUUUGUUUUAGGUACCCGAGUUAUAACACCCGACAAUAUAUAACUAGAUUAGCUUGAUUAAUUUAUGUCUAAAUUAUAAUUAUUAGAAUAAAUUCAAUUACGAGGAUCGAAAUCCUUAUAUAUUACACAAGACCGAGAGAAUGUGUUCUUUUUCUCAAACAAUUAUUUAAUCAGGUCAUUAUUAGAGAAGUUUGACUUAUGAAAAAUCUAAAGUGGCCUAGAACUUAAUUUCUAGCUGGGGAGUAUAUCAUGAUCUUUUAAUCAAAAUAUAUAAACUUAUCUAAAAUAACAACUUGCAUAAACUAUUUUUAUGAUUAGUAAUACAAUUACAAAUGAAUUGUUUUCGGUAUGAAUCGUUAAAGAAAUUUUAGAAUUUUGUUCUUUUUGUAGCACAUCUUGUGACGAUUGAUAUAUAAAACGAUGUCAGAUGUCGUUGUUGGCGUCUGCGCGGCCACGGGAAAUUAGCGCUGGAAUUACUCCCUUCGAUUCGGUCAGCUCCAUCUCCUAACGGCGGCUAUGGAACGUAAGAUAAGAGCUCUCGGCCGGCCGGUCCGCUUCAUAUACUCUCAUGCAAUGCAAAAAGUUGCAACACGUUCCUCGUGCCUCGCGCGUGCGCCCAUCCUUCCAAAUGAUAACCUGUGAUACAAUAAUUAAUGUUUAGAGUCCUAUAAUUAACGCGUAAUCUUGCGGUCUCGCGUUCCCGUGCGGUGCCACCGGCGGUCGCCGUCGCCCCCAUCUGGUCGCCGCGGAAGCAAGGGCAGGACUCCAGAGAGCAAAACGUGCUGCGCUGCGCUGGUGCGCGAGAGCGACGUUGGACUCCCAGACUGCGAUGCCUGCGGGUGUGUGUGUAGAAUAGAAUAUAAUAGAUCGUCUCUUGUUUUUCCAUGCAACUAUGGCACUAUGCAAGAUAGUCAGAUAUGGAUGCUAUAGACCUGAUGGAUUGGAGUCGUCUUAAGAUAGCGAUGGACCAUCAUCGAAUCUGCGAUGUGCUCGUCUCGUUCGUUUGAUUGAUAAGUCAUGAUAAAAAAUAUUGUUGACUAAUUUGUUAUAAGAGAAAAACAUUUAUAGAUUUAGCUGAUAAACUUAAACGAACAGGCUGUAUCUCUGUUUUAUCUUCCGCCGCCAGGCCAGGGUACGUGGAACGUGAUUGACAAGCAACUUCGUCGGUUUUUCACUCGCAAUUUUUCUUUUGUUUGCAAACCCAAAAAAAAAACACCAAAGAAGGGUAAAAUAAGCUUAAGAUAUUUGUUCAUCGGUCUAAGAUGGAGCAGAUUUCCUGUCAGAAAUGCAGGAUAGAAGCAGCGACAAUUGGCCACGUACAGUAUAGCAUCAAGAGGCCUCUCUAGUAUCAAAGAUGUUGACGCGCGUUGAUAAUGGAUCGAGGUUGGAGGUGCACUUGCAUGCAGUUUCGUCCACGAGCAUCAGUUCGUGCCAGUCUUUUUCGACGAACAUAUGUUCAGGAAUAGGUACACGUGUGAGCUCAGAUUUGGUCUCCUCGAUCGAUCCACUUAAUUAACCAGCGCCAGUGGGUUUGAACUAUCUAGUCUGGCCUCCUAUAAAGCCAACGGUAGCAGCAGACGCUCGUUCAUCUGCUUGCGUCAGUUUGACCCAUGAACAUAGCGUUUGCAGACCAGCGUGUGGCGAUGACACGAUGACACACGACACGUACGACUUCAUAUGUCCCGCUACUCGCUAGAAUAAUAGGGUGUUGACGCUUUCUUGAGAUAAAGAAUGAUUCUCAGUCUCUAGUUAAUUAAGGAAUACUAAGUUUGGAAAUAUAUGGCACUGACGCCUUCUCGUUGAUAGAUAGAAUAAAUAAAAAAAAUAAAAGGCCUUGCCCUUGAUCACGACUUGUGAGGUCGUGCUUUCACUUUAUGGCGGCUUUCGGCUACUGUCUGCAGACGGUGUUGUGUGAUGUUGUUGUAUGUCAAAGACCUGUAAACAAAGUCCAUGCAAAUGGAUCGAUCGUAUCAAUUAGUUACGGGACCUUCAGUGGUGCUCACCACUGGACGACGGGUGGCAGCACGCGCACCAGGAGAUAGAGAAGAAGGGACGUCUCCUUGACUGACUCCGUGGCAUGAGCAUGACGGCACGGAAUAAUGCUGGUAAAAUAAAUAAAGUAGUAAAACGAAACCUUGUGGUCAUCCGGAGCACCGUAGCGGAACGAGACUGUCAGUGUCAUGCAUGUAUAUAUCUGGGAGGAAUCCUGAGAUGCCGUGAAAGACCAAUCCUGUUGUUGUUGUUGCUGCUGCUACGAGCUAGUGCGAUCGAGAGUGACUGCGCACGCAAGCUUUGUACUGGUACGUAGAAGAAAAGGAACGGUGUGGGAGUGAGCCGCGCAAUGCCAUUCAGGUACUCAGGUCUGAGUCUGAAACGCAAUGGAAACGUCAAAUGUGCAUGCAUGUGCUUGCUAUGGCGCGCUGGCGGGACGUCGACAACCAGGCAACUCUGUCAUGCCGGCCGGCCGGGAAGCUGUGCAGUGCAGUGACAACGUACCCGUACUGAUAAUAAAGAUGCUAAAACAUCUUGGGCGCCGUCUUGUUCCGUUUAGCUGAUAAGCCAUAAUAAAAAGUACUGUUGUUGAUUCGUUGUGUUGUGAAAAAAAAACACUGCUGAAUAAUUGACAGAAGUCAUAAUAAAAAACACCGUUAACUAAUUUGUUGUUAAAGUGGUGAUAAACUCAAGCAAACAUACACGAGUCUUCCAGCGACGGUGGGGCCUGGGGCAGCGAUCGAGAUGCUCUAGCUAGUGAGUUCCGUGAUACCCAACGAAGGCACAUCAACCGUGAGCCAUUCUUUUGCAAACGCCGGCCGGAUCGGAGGACGAUCGACGCUACUGGCAACUAGCCGCGACGCUCGUUCGUUCCCAUCCGUUGCGUGCUGCCUCGAACCAUCACGUACACUGAAGGAGGACGAACUCAACUGAGGUGGACAGGGCCGCGACCGCGAUCGGGAUGCCCUCUGCCUGGCAUCGAUAUAUAAUGCCACCACCACAACGAAUCGGCACGAGAAACUGGUAUGCAAGAGGUCGACGAGCCAGGACUGGGACUGGGACGGCGGCGAAGCGGCACGCCGGCACGCACACCAGACGUACGCCACCUGUCGCGGUGGCCCGUGGCCCUCUCCUCUCUCGCGCGCCAUCACGUCCCGCAGCUGGCGCCUGGCAGCACGCAGUGCAGCCUGGCCCGAACCGAGGCCAGCCGCUCCUUUGAGCGUGCGGCGCGAGUCGCGCGCACAGAUCCACCGGUCAUUCGCUCGAUUUUGUUUUCUUCUUGCUGCUGCUUGUCUAUCUAAUCUAGGCCUUGUUUAGUUCCAAAAUUUUUUGGGAAAUGGACACUGUAGCACUUUCGUUUGUAUGUGACAAAUACUGUCCAAUCAUGGACUAACUAGGCUUAAAAGAUUCAUCUCGUCAAUUCCGACCAAACUGUGUAAUUAAUUUUUAUUUUCAUCUAUAUUUAAUACUCCAUGCAUGCGUCUAAAGAUUCGAUGUGACGGGGAAUCUUAAAAAUUUUGUAAAAUUUUUCAGGAACUAAACAAGGCCCUAAGAGAUCGAGUAUGGAUCUACGAUCUGCGAAAGCGGUGGACGCUGCUGCCAUGCCCAUGCUUCAGUACUGCGACAGGCUGUUGUUGUUGGCUUCGCCAAAAAAAAAAAAGGAAAAAAAAGGAAGAGGAAGUGCAUUUCCACUUUUCCAGCAACGAAAUCAAUCACCAAUGUCAAGCAAACUUAUGUCAUCGAACAUUAGCACGUACGUAGUACCUUGAACCCAAACCUAUGGCACCGAACAGUAGCACGAAGUAGUGCUAUAAACCAGGGAGAUUUGACAUUUGAGCUCUACUUGUUGAGAUCAAACACUAAACAAUGCACGCCGACCACUAAAUCACGUACCACGUACUAAAUAAUUGGUAGCACAGCACCCACAAAAUAGCGGCUGCUAUACUUUUAGCGAUUCUCUACCGAUAUCGCUACAAGAUAGCGGACUAGUAAAGGUAGCGUGUUGAAAUUUAGCAGCCGCUCAUGCACUUAGCGUCCGUGUUCGUUUUUCUUAUCGGUUAUUUUUUCUCGCAAUAAAUCAGUCAGUUAAUAAUAAUUUUAGCAACAAGUAAUAGCGUGGAUAAUUCCAACAACAACAAAAAAAGAUAGUGACGUAGAUGAUGAUAAAGAAUGAUGGGAUGAUAAUAUUUUUUUCAAUGAUAUAAGAACUUAAUGAUAUUUUGUCUCCACGUAAUUUCUUUACAUUAUUUUUUAUAUGCUUGCUUGUGAUUCUAUGACAUUAAAUUUAGUAACUAGGGCCCUGUUUAGUUCUCCACCUAAAAUUUUUUCGUCCAUCCCAUCGAAUAUUUAGACACAUGCAUGGAACAUUAAAUUUAUAAAAAAAAUAAACUAAUUACACAGUUUGAUUGAAAAAAGUGAGACGAAUCUUUUAAGCUUAGUUACUCUAUGAUUAGCCUUAAGUGCUACAGUAACUUACAUGUGCUAAUGAUAGAUUACUUAUGCUUAAUAGAUUUGUCUUGUAGUUUCCUGGUGAGCUAUGUAAUUUGUUUUUUUAUUAGUUUGUAAAAACCCCUCCCGACGUCCUUCCGACACAUCCGAUGUGACACCCAAAAAAUUUUCAUCUCCAAUCUAAACAGGGCCUAACUAAAAACUUCAAAUUAUUUCUAAGCAAACAUAAUUUUAGCAGUAGCGGAGGGAUGGAUAAAAAGUAAGAUGUGGCAUAAUAGAGUUGUCUGAUAAAUAAGACUUCAUCAAUUUUGAGCUAUGGCGCGCGUUGGCCAAUCUAGUAUUGAUACAUGGUCUAAAUUUUGACUAUCUUAAAUAUUUUAUUAUUAGACUUUAGCGUCAGCUAUAACAUUCGCUAUCUGUAAUCUACUAUAUAUGCAGAUAAUAUAAUCCACUACUAAACCGCUAUCCGAUGUUUAUUUAGCUCGUCACGUACGCCCGCGAGCUAGAGAUUAGCAGGACUGCACGAGCCGAAUAGAAGGCCGGCGCCGCUUCGAAUGGAUCGAGCCAUCCAAAUGGUGCUUCUGUCAACUGUCAGGUGGGACGGGGGGACGGGGGCGUGGUGACGUCGGAAGCUGCCGUGCGGCCGCAGUGUCGUUUCCCGCAACGCAACGACCAGCGGCAGCGUGGCGAUCCGCCCCCACCGCUCUUCCCUCCGCUCCGCCCUCGCACUAUUUCUAGCACCGCCGGAGCCGGGCUGGACACUUCUCAUCUCCCAUCUCCUCUGCUUCCCAGUCCCCGCCCGCCGUGAGAGCCCGCCACUGCUGCAUCUCAAGGUACCCUGUGUUCUCCCCUCUCCUCUGCGAUCGAUCCUGGUUCCCAUGUCUAUUGUUCUCAUCUCAUCCUGGGCUCUCGCUGCAUGCAGGGUCAGAGGUUGUACCGAUCAUCGCUGUGGCCUUCGCCGCCGGCCGCCGGCGCAUCAACCACCGCGCCGGCACGGGCGCAUGCAGGUGACAUUCCGCUCUCCGGCUCUCUCCGCCGGACGUGGGUGCUCCCCCGGAACAAAACGCCUACCUACUCUCUCGGCAACGUUUCUGGAAGUUCGUUGAGGCAUCAAAGAAUUGCCUGCCCUGCGCCGUGCGCGUGUGCCGUGUGACGGCGCGGCCGGGAUGGGCAAGAUGAACUGCUUCUCCGGCCUGCUCAGCGGCAAGAGGAAGGCAUCCAAGGUUUGGUGGCGGAAUGAGACUCGUCUUUCGCCGCUGAAUUUUGGCGGAGCUACUCAUUAAUUAUUAGUGACUUUGGACUUGUUCAUCAAUGGCAGGGUAAGAACAAGGGCGCUUACGUCAAGAAGGGUAGUGGCAAUGAUUGUCCCAAGGUGAAGCCGGUGGAGUUCAUGGACAUGGCGGACACUGUUGUCGACGACGUCGUCAGCAGAGGCGGAGACAGCAGCGUUCCUGCGUCUGCAUGCAACAGUAGGUUUGUCGUUCACGCAGCCGCCCAGCUGCCACGCCAUGCCAGUGGCGAGAAUGGCGACAAGGCCGCAGCUAAGAAGGAGUCGUCCGCCGCCGACGACGACCUCGUCGCCGGCGUUGGCUCCUCCGGUCACAGCAGCUACGGAACUGGCAACAGCGAUGCCAAGAGCACCGAGCCGGACGACGGCGAGCGCUCCAGCCUUGGCCGCAUGUCGCCAACGGCAUCGCCGAAGCUGAUGCGCUCCUGCUCCAACAUCGAGACGACGAGGUCUGUCGUCCCGGCAGGGUCCGACCUGCCGGCGAAGUCGCGCUCCUACAACGACCUGAAGAUCCUGCCUCCCGGAAGGUCGACCGCCGCCCGCAGCGGCGCGAUCGACGCGAGCCCGACGGCGUCCUUCAGGACCUCGUGCUCCGCCGACCGCGUCAUGCUGAAGAAGCGGUCGUCGAGGCAGGUGCUCCCGUCCAGGAGCCGGAAGCUGUGGUGGCAGAUGUUCCUCUGGAGCCACCGCAACCUGCACCGGCCGGGCGCGAGCGCGACCAUGCCCACGCUGCUGCCGCCAUCGCCGGGGCAAGAAGAAGAAGAAGAAGAAGGCGGUGCCGCGCACCAGCACGACGGGUACACGUCCGACACGCUGGGCGCGGUCACCGCGGACGCCAAGAACAAAGGCGUCGCCAUCGAGGCGGACCCCAUUACGAGCCAGUGGGUCGCGUUCUCCGCCGAGGCCUCGCCGCUGGACCGGGUCAGCGCGUGGGUGAACAGCCUCGGGGACGGCUCGUUCCACGCCGUCGACGAGGACGAUGCCACGGGGCACGGCAGCGGCGGCGAAGGCGCCGCUCGCCCGCGACGGCAGCGGUGCUCCGAGAUCGUGGAGCUGUCGACGGCGACGGCCGGCGGCAAGAGGAACCCGGAGGCGAAGCGGCGCGCGGCGGACGAGGCUGCCCAGGCGAGCGGCAUCGUGCAGACGCUCAACACCUUCUCCUCCGUCGCCCACAUCGCCGGCAUGGGGCUCAAGACCGUCCCGACGAUUGCGGCUUUCUCGACCCUCCGUGCCGUCAAUCUGUCUGGAAACACGAUUGGUAAUUCCUGAUCGCAGACACUAAAAAUUUUUCUACUCGUGUAAUUACAUCUCUAGAUUGUACUAUCAGUAACUAACACGAGUAAAUUUCGUUUUUGUUACUCGACUUGACACAUUCAUAAUUGUCCUUUGGUUUCGCAGUUGAAAUCAGCGCUGGAUCGUUGCCCAAAGGCCUGCAUUCGCUGGAUCUGUCGAGGAACAAGAUUGCAAUCAUCGAGGGGCUGCGGGAGCUGACGAGGCUGCGGGUGCUCAACCUCAGCUACAACCGGAUCUCACGGAUCGGGCAUGGUAAGCAAAGCACGUCCUUGUCCUGGCAAUGCAACAUGACUUUUACUUAGUGCUUCUUACUACCAGUUAGCAUCUGCAUUUCUGCCUGCCUGUACCCUGAAUAUGUGUCAGGUGAAAACACAGUGCCUAGCCUGCUUGGAGUUAUUUGCACCGCACGAAUAUUGUUCAAUGCGCGUAUCAGUAGUAAUGUGUGACACCCUGGAUGUUUUGGCAUUUUUAGAUCUUCGUCAGGUCCUUUGUUCGUGCUAAGCCAUAGCAUAAGCAUAGCAUGGUCCAUACCACACCACAGCUGCAGGGCUAGGGUUCCUGCUGGACAUCAUGGGAAAAGGGUCCUGCGGUUUUAGCUCGUUGUGACUUGUGAGUGAACCAUCAUAUGCGGCGUCUGCCGUCUGGACGUGUGGCCGUGUCCGUGUGAGUGCUGUGCGGUACUGGUAACCAGAACGCCAUUACGCAUGUCGCCAGAUAGGAAUGGGGUGCCACAUGCUUCAGAUAUCUGAUGCGGACAUCUCGGCAUUUCGCGUACUGCUCUUUAUCUUUUCAGCCUGCGAUCCCCGUGACACGCUUCGGCGCGUCCCAUGUUCACUGCCUGUCUGGUACAAUGCCUGUUCAGAGUUCAGGUUCAGACCUUUGGAUUGGAUUCCAGGGGAUCAUAUCUGUCCCUCCCAACUUCGAUCGUUCCCAAAAACACACUGCUUAUGUUAUGUGCAUGCAUGACUGUAUGCCACGUCCGACAGCUGGUCCAGCCGCUGCCCUGCCCCUUUUUAUGACCUCUGGCUCAGCCGCUCGGCUAUGUUUGGCACCCGUUAGGACCUGCCCUCUCGGUCCUUUCACCAGACAAGUCUGAAAUUUGCACACACAUACGUACUAGCUACUAGUAGUAUACCAACAGAGUUUACAGUGGUCUUCAGCCUUAUACUACGUGCAACUGUGGGUUGACAAUGUACAGCAGACGAAUUUAACGUGUGUUUCUAAUUGCUCCCGUUUCAGGCCUGUCGAGCUGCACGGCGAUCAGGGAGCUGUACCUGGCCGGGAACAAGAUCAGCGACGUGGAGGGGCUUCACCGGCUGCUGAAGCUGGCCGUCCUGGACGUGAGCUUCAACAAGAUCACCACGGCCAAGUCCCUGGGCCAGCUCGUGGCCAACUACGGCUCGCUGCGGGCGAUCAACCUGCUGGGCAACCCGGUGCAGGCCAACACCGGCGACGACACGCUCCGCAAGGCCGUGUCGGGCCUGCUCCCGCGGAUCGAGUACCUCAACAAGCAGGCCGUCAAGCCGCAGCGCGCGCGGGAGGUGGCCAAGGACAGCGUCGCGCAGGCGGCGCUCGGGAACGCCGGCUGGAACUCGCGGAGGCGGCUCACGCGGCGCCUCAGCCAGAGCCCCGGGUCGGCGGGGAAGGGCGGCCGGGGCAGGGACGGCAACGGCAACGGCAGCCGCAGGGGCAGCAGGAGCAGGUCCAUGACCAGGCCCCAGAGCUCGAGCUUGCCAAGGAGAUGAGAGGCAAAACGUGCGACGUACGUACUGAUAAAAAAAAAUGGUCUUCGGCUUGAAGAGGGAGAAGAAACAACUCUAUGCGUUUAAACUGCAUGCAAUGCAAUGUUGUGAUGAGCUUGAGUUUGACGCAUUUUCCCGAACCUUUUUUGACAGCACAAUCUGUUGCCAGUUAGCGAUGUCUGUAGCUUCUAGUAGUACUACCGUCCAAGGAGGACGUCUCAAAUGGAAAAACUGUUUAGUGGCUACCAUUUGAUUGCUUGAUCUUGUUUGUUUUCUGUGACUGAUGAUGAUGAAGGGUAAAGAACCUGGGACUUGAGUUAUGAGUUGGAAUUGAACUCGUGAACGCACAGAACACAUGAAUUAAUUAACAAAGAAAAAAACAAAUCGUGAACGCGCAGCGAACAUUGACAAAGGAAAAAGAAAAAAAAUCGUGAACACCCAGCAAACAUUAAUAACAAAGAGAAAACAAACCGUCAGCAAACAUUAGCAAAGAAAAAAAAAUCGUGAACAUACAGCAAACAUUAACAAAAAAUAAACCCAAAAAAAUAAAAAAAAUCCGACCUGCCGGAUUCGAACCAGCGACCUAAGGAUUUUUCUGCAAUCACUACAGUCCUCCGCUCUACCAACUGAGCUAAGGUCGGUUUUGGCUUAAUGCAAAGAAUUAUUUCUAAAGACUUUUAAAAAAUCUUGUGCCAGCAAACCUAAGUCCUGUUUGGUUUAUUAUCGAGCCAAAUGUAUAGAACAAGAAGCAAACGUUCCGUAUAGUAUAAUUUUCGCAGCACGUGGGAUCCGUUUUUAGUUUUUCCAAAUGGGUGUAAACAAAAGAGAUGUUUUGUAGUUGUUCACAGAAGAUAAAGAAAGGUGGUAGAUUUUAUAAUUGUUUAGUUUUUUUUUCACACCGCAUAUAUAAUUCACAAAUAGCUUUUGUAUUUCACAAUAGCCUGAGAUGUUGAGUAAAUUUAUCAACAAUUCAACAGUGUAUUCUCAGAUAUUGUUUUUUAGACAAACGAACAGAUUCAUGGAGGAUUAGAAUGACUUGUGCAUAUAGUACCCGAUCGAGAAACUGGAAAACAAAUCGUGGCCUCAGUGAAACAAAUAGGACCUCAGGGUGCGCAGCUAAUACCCACGACUGGCCAUUUGUAGUUGUAGGUUGCAUCCUUCUUGAGCCUCUUUGCGCGGUUGCCACUCGCCGAGUCGCCCCAAUCUACCAAACAGUAAUAGCUUUGCUUAAAAUGGGAGAAAACAAACAAACAAAAGGUAGCCACUGCACUGCACGGGUGAAGUCGCCAAUACCUUCCCUUCCCGGGACCGGCAAAGGCCACAGGCACCGACGCACGUAAGAGUCACAGUCCUUGUGUGGUCUCGCCAUGGACACCCAAUGGUAGCGUGUUGUCCACUCCCACGGGCCAGCCAGGCAUGGCUACUACAUCAUGGGCUCAUGGCACUCCCCGCUUGCUACUAGUUUUUACCCAAAGCUGCCUGCGAAUGGACUGAUUUUUUUUUUUUUUAAAAUAAGGCCGCGAUCAUGUCCAAAGAAUAAUUAUGGCAGGUUGCGAUCAGCUUCAGUCUCUAUUCCUGCACGACUGCCUGUGCUUUGUACAGUAUUUAUUUGCUUUCGCAAGGUGCUCUUGGUAGUUUUUUUUCCCUUCUUGCAUACACACGUCACACACGCAUGAAAAGGUUUCACCACUAGUAGCAGUGCAGCCUCCAUUGUUGGUAGAACUACGUAGAAUGGUACUAGGGCUUUGUUUAGUUCCAAAAUAUUUUGCAAAAUCGACACUGUAGUUUUUUUGCUUGUAUUUGACAAAUAUUGUCCAAUCAUGGACUAACUAGGCUCAAAAGAUUCGUCUCGUCAAUUUCGACCAAACUGUGUAAUUAGUUUUUAUUUUUGUCUAUAUUUAAUACUUCAUGCAUGUGUCUAAAGAUUGAUGUGACGGAGAAUCUGAAAAAUUUUGCAAAAUUUUUUAGAAAGUAAACAAGCCUAGUUCGGUGAGACCAGAAAAAAAAAAAGGUCAGGGAUACUUUCGUAAGACCGACCGGUGUCGUCUCGCCUGCUUUCAAAAAUCAUAGUACAACCACCAACUAAAAAAAGCGCACGCGCACACGCAUCCCGGGCACUCUACUUCCACUAGCGCAGCCGCUGGCCGCUGCCUCUUCUCUCCUUCGCGACCCCCGAAGGAAAGCCGGAGCAGAGAGCGCCACCACUAGCCAGCUGAGGAGGCAUGGCGGGGGCCGGAGACAAGGUGGACUACGUCUUCAAGGUGGUGCUGAUCGGCGACUCGGCGGUGGGCAAGUCGCAGAUCCUCGCCCGCUUCGCCCGCAACGAGUUCAGCCUCGACUCCAAGGCCACCAUCGGCGUCGAGUUCCAGACCCGCACCCUCGUCAUCGACCACAGGAGCGUCAAGGCCCAGAUCUGGGACACCGCCGGCCAGGAGAGGUACCAGCAGCCACCGUCCGCCUCCCCGCUCUGCUCCCGAUCCUGGCCGCUGCUUUACUCACUGGCCGUCUCUUGCGCAAAUCAUGCUCCUCGAUCCGUUCCUCUUGCGCAUUAGAUCUCUGUAGAUUGUAGCGGUAGCUGAAACGUUGAGCGCAAUGGUGGAUCUCUACUUGUGAAAUGUUUUCCUUUUUGCGCGUUCACACCUACCUUACCAGCACAGGACAAUGUGCUGCUAGGUGAUUAGAUCUGGCAACUCUAUGCUUGCAGUGCUUUUACUGAACUCAUGCGCAAGGUUCAGUUAGUCUUUAAUUGUUGAGGCAGGACGAAUCCUGUUGGCUCCUACUAUAGUCUUUACUGAACUCAUGCGCAUGCUCUGUAGUUUUAGAAAACAAAUUUUGAGGAAGUAAACGUGUGCUAUACAGUAGUUAGUAGUGGUGGUGGUGGUUCUGCAUUGACAGAAGUUGUUUGACAGGGAGGUUGAGCAAAUGGGAAUACUAUUAUUCAAAUUCUGAGUUGUUGUUCACAUUUGCCUUGUACUUUGCUCAUCUACUGUCUGAUACCUGACGUUCUUUAAUGCGCAAUUGACAACACCUUUAAAGUUUCUGGUGAUUCUGUAGUACAACAAAUGAACAGGCCUGCAAGAUGUACAAUGAAAUGUUCUGCAAGAAUUUAAAACCUUUGAAGAAUUUUUUUUGUUGGUGACCUCUGACCUCUAUGAUAGGAUUGGGAGGCCUACCAUGUUGGUUGAAUUUGAGCUCCAUUUGCUUGUGGACUAUGUCACUUCGAGUCAGCAUGUCAUUGUACUCGUUAUUUUGCAGUAAAUAUGCCAUAAUAGGUUGAGCAUGUCAUGCUCGGGAGUCAGGUCCUGUCAUUAGAACGGGAAGAAUUUCGUAGGAGUAGAAUACAAGCAUCAAUUUGUCAUUAUCUUCUUCAGGCAACAAAAUUCUUUGCUCUUGACAAGAAAACUUACAAUGUGCAUGACUCACAUUCGCACUCUCAAAGUACUCUGCAUAUUAGAAUCAUCACUUGCUUUAGACUUGUUCAUCAUAUUAUAGUGUUCGAGCGUUCUGAUUAGCGAGUGCUGACCCAUGGAAAUUAUUUCAUAUAUUGGGUCCUGGUUUGUAUCCGUGGCCUUAUAGCACAUCUUUAGUAGUCAUUUUUAGGUGCUGUGAAUUUUUGUGCCUGCUUUCCAUCACUUCUUUUUUUCCUGAACUUCUCAUGCUGAGUUGCUGGCUACACCCAACUGCAGGUACAGAGCUGUGACAAGUGCUUAUUACAGAGGUGCACUGGGAGCUUUGCUGGUCUAUGACAUCACCAGACGCCAGAGCUUCGAUCAUAUACCCCGCUGGCUAGAUGAACUCCGAGCCCAUGCUGACAAGAACAUUGUGAUAAUGCUGGUUGGCAACAAGAGUGAUCUCGAGGAGCAGCGAGCCGUGAGCACUGAAGAUGCCAAGGAGUUUGCCGAGAAGGAGAAUCUCUUCUUCCUGGAGACCUCUGCGCUCCAGGCAACAAACGUAGAGAGUGCUUUCCAAACUGUCUUGACAGAGAUCUUCAAAAUUCACAGCAAGAAGAACAUGGUGUCGGAGCCAAAGAGCAAUGGAGUUGCCCCAGCAAUGGCAGGGACGAAGGUCCUUGUCCCAGGUCCGGCGCAGGAAAUCCCAAAGAGCAAGUGCUGCAGUUCCAUGUGAUGCUUCUACGUUUGGUGUUGGGUGUGUUCAAAAUAUUCAUGUAAUAUUGUUUUGGUUGUAAACCCCGGCUGAAAUGCUUGGAUUUUGGCGGGAUUGUGUUGGUACACUGGUGUAUUUUAGAUAUUUGUCACAAUUGUGACAUGAGGGAAGGAUGUGCUGAUGUAUUGGUCCUCGUGUUCUCUAAUUGAUAUGUUUUAUCCCUGCUGCAAAUAUCUGUAGCACUGAUUGUUUUUGAGAUACCAGGGUGAAUCUGCCGUGUCCAAGAAAGCAUCGAGUCAACUAGCCUGCUAGUUUGCAAUAAUAUUUGAUCUCUGGAGCUAUCAGCUAGGAGAAGAUAAAUAUGAGAAAAGAUAGAUCUAUCAGCUAAGAGAAAAAAUUCCAUAAAAUGUAAACCUGAGAAAGGCCAAAAAGAAACAGAUGGGAAGGGGAAAAAAAGAUGGUGGUCUGUUAUAGUAGGAGUCUGGGCCUGAAGCGGGACCCAUGAUGCAGCGGCCUGUUAUCCUUCCACCGUUGGAAGCGGACAGUGAUCGCUGCUCUGUGAAACCAGCCUCACGCCGUUCCUGCCACUUUAGGUCCAGGGAGGCCAAGAGCUUCCGCCCAAGUCUCCGCUGGCCACAACCAACUUGGAACGGGCAGGCCAGCCAAGGCACAUCAAGAGCCCAGGCCCAGAUUCCGCACCAAACAUCCACACCACCUUGAUGCCCCCACUUGGGUUACAAGCCCACGCAACUGAGCUCGGCGAGCGUGGGCUACCAAGACUGCUAUUUAAGCUGGUGCUGUGCAGCUUGGAGUGGCGAGGUGGUACUAAACAGAGGCGCAAGCGGCUGGUACAUUGGCUUCCUUCCAGGCUUUUUGUGGCUUCUUGAGCAAAUUUUGUCGAUGCAACCGGUGACUGCAUGGAUGAUUCAGACUCGAGUCACUCAAUGAUGCGCAGUCCUUUCUUACCAACAGUUGUCUCAAAAGAAAAGGGAGAAAGAAGCUAGCACUUUACCAUGCUGGCCGAUGAGCACUUGUAACUUUGAAAGAGCACACGGGACAGCGUAACCUUGAAUGAAUCAAGUGAAAUGUAUCAGGUUUCCGCGAUUCCAAGGGGAAAAGGGAGGAGGAUUACAACGCCCAGCAAAUCCAACGGCCCGCUGCUAGUUUUGCUCUCAAGAGCGGAUCUGCUGUCCUGCACUCCUGCAGAGACCACCGGGCCUCCGCACGUCGGCAACUCGGCAUCGCUGCGCUUGGUGGCCGCAGAACACACGCGGAUCAGCGUCCACCAAGACGCGAACGGUGGCCACGCGUCUGGCUCAAGUAGAUGCAGAUCAGCAGAUGGACAGACACGGGAGCGCACCCCGGCGCGGCGCCAAACGACCGAGCGGACCACUGUUGCGUCCCCCCUGUUCGGCUGUUCCCGCGAGAAACUCACGGGUCUGUCUGGCUAGCUGUCUCGACGCGGCGGUAUUUUUCUGGCGUUUCCGAUGACAAAAGGUGCGCGCAUGGCGGCAUGGGUGAAAAUGGCACUGGUGUCGCACCAUGUCAGUGUCAGUGCGGCGCCGGUGGAUACACACGGCAGGCAUGGCCUGGACGCCAUUAGUACGCACGUAGUGCCGCCAGCUGUUGGGCUUGUCGUUCGUCGCCAUCGCCGGGGCCGCAUCAUGACGAGAUCAUUUCCGUCUGCCGUGCCCGGCCCUGAGAAAAGCGAUGUGCCGCCGUGUGUUUGUUGUGUGUCGUGCUGCGUAUAGGCUUGACGCGGGUACGAUCCACCGUCCAUGCACACAUGAUCGAAGCCGCAACUGUCUACCACGUUCGGGGCGGCGUAGCACCGAGAGCGAUCGAGAGGCGCGUAGCCCUUGUGUUCCAGCUUGACUAGCCCGCAACAUCAUCCUUGAAUCUUGAUAGUCUGUAGCCGGUGCGCGACGCGUGCAAGGUGCACUAGGAAGAAAAUUAUAUGGACAUCACAACCAAACAUAAACCCAGAAUACAAUCACAACCUUGAUGCGCAACACGCCAUCACAACCACAAAUUUGCCGUGGCUGAAACCCCCCGCGCGCCAUCACCCUUGAUGCACUACAUGUGGCACUCGAAUAUCUAACAGGCGUAGGAUUACACGCGUUGGGGACUACUAUGGUGGAUGUAUGAUUUGGUUGUAUGGAUAGGUAUCACCAAUCUACAAUGGGAUCGUACAGAAGGAGCAGAGAACCUAGGUCCAAUAAAUAGAGUCUGUUUAAUAAGUGAUAAGUCAUGGCUGAAAGGACUGUUCGCUAAUUUGUUGUAAAAAAAACUCAGUAGAUAAAGUCAAAUGAACAGACUUUUAAUUAUUUUUCUACCAUUUGCAUUUGUUGUAGUGUGACAGAAUUAUUUUUCAAAAAAAUGAUGUAAAAAACUAAAUUGCCCCUUAUCUCCUUUUCCUUUAACUUCCAUUUUGUUGUAGUUAAUUGAAAGGAGUGAAUGAGAGUUUGGAAAUAGAAGUUCAUAAAUCUUUUUGUUUUGUGGGAUGAGAAUUUUGGUGAGAAGCAAAAUUAAAUUUUAGAGUGUCCACUUUCGCUAAACAUUUCGUGGUAAUGGUGUGAAUUAUGCUCUUAAUGAAAAAAUACAUCUUCAUUGUUUAUCAUGAAUGGUCAUUAUAAUUUUACACUCAAAACCUCACCCCGAAAUGGAGACAUAUGGAUUCGCUUAGAAUUCUUUUUCAUAGGGUGUCUCCAAUAGCUAGCUUUUUGGUUAGUUAUUAUAAUGUGGAUAGUGAAAAAAUAGAAAAGAUAGUAGUCAAUAAACAAAUAACUGAUCUAUUUCACAUAGUUCAAAAAUCUAUGAGAACAACAUGUAAAUUCAAUAAUACAUAGAAAAAUAAAAAUACAUAAAAUAGUCUUACUUUUAUCAUUCACCUCCACGUAGUUAGCACCGUUACCCAUGCCCUUAUUUUCCUUCGCAAACUAAACAAUAAAUUUGGAACUAAAAGUUAAAAUUCCCCCGGUCAACUCCCACUGCCAAUUUACAUGUCGUUUUCUAUAUACUUUCUCUAUCCAUAAAAAAAAUGUAACAUUCAGAUUUGUGUAAGUCUGGUUAAUUGAGGAGGUCUGGUUACUGCGGGGUGCCGGAGGGCCGCCGGAGAGGAGACGCCGGGUAGCUUCUCUCUCCAUGGUUAAUCGAGUCCACGUCGGACGUAUGUGCCAGGGGAUGUAUACAGAUGGCACGAUCCCCACCGUUGGACGUUGCCCUUAUCCUCUUUAUCCAUGCAGGCCCGGCGAACGCACCUCCGCCGCUCGCAGCCGCCGGCGUCCGCCACGCGCUCGACGAAGUGCCGCGCGCCUAAACUCUCCGAGGCUCUCACUCCUAGCGCCCGCCGCGGCUGAUGCCGCUCGCCGGCAUUGCCCUCGCGCCUCUCCUCGUCUCACCCCUCGCGUCUUCGCCUCACCGUAGCAGCGUUGCCACUGCCGCCGCGAGGAGACCAAGAGCUCUCAAGCGAGCUCGGUGCUCGGUUACAGCCGCUUCCGGUGAAGCCGGUGAGCUGUCGCGCGCGACGCUGCUAUGGAGGGCGGCAAAGCUACCCAUCUACUCCGUGGCGCUAGUGCCACUCACCGUGAGUUGUUGCAAGCCCAAGCCUCCUUAAUGCGACGUACUGGCAACAAGAGCGCAAAUUUUGACCCUUCUCCCUUUGCAAUUCAGAACUGGAUGCCUAGAAGUCGUUCAGAAUUAGGAUUGUUGUGGCAACAUACAUUGUUUUGCAAUUUUGGAUGCCUUUCCCUUUUUACACUUGUCCUAUUUGUGUAUGGUUGCAGGUAGGGAGCGCUUCUGCUUAUCAUCAUGCGGGUUUAUUCUUUACCAAGCGCUAUUUUGUUCUCCUGACAGCAGCAGUCCUCGUGAUCACUUGGCUCAAUCUCAGGUAAAAAUGAUUUUUAAAAUGGAAAAUUGUUGUCAACGUUUACGUCAUGCUUUAAUGAGCAGGGGCUUAUCGUGUGGAUUAGUUGAAAAGCUUAGAACAAAGAUUUAAGUAAAAUCCUUGUUUGACUUCACUGCAGCAAUGAUGUUUAUGACUCGGAUACAGGGGCUGAUAAGAACAAGAAAGAAUCUGUUGUCAGCAUUACUGGCAGGUACUGUACUCUUGUUUCAUAGAACUAAUAGCAUCGUAAAUGGCUUGCAUGGUUGGUUUUUAGAAGUGACACAUGAUGUUAUGUUCUAACUGACUAUGCAGUCGAGCAAUGACACAAAAUGCCGCAAACAUUUCCCUAUUCCUCGGCUUUGCAGGGCUAUUUUGGGCCUUUGCAGAAGCCAGGGAUAUCAGAUUCAUUUUAUUGGUGAUGUCUGCAAUCUUCUGUGGUUAUGUUUACCAGGUAUUAUUAUCUUCACUCCCUGUUUCAAGGAACCAGUGUAGUAUAUCUUAACGGUCUGUAUCAUUGGUUAGACCAUUUGUAUUUGGCUCUUUGUAUUGACUUUGAAUUCUUGUACACAUAAUACUAUUUAAGCCAUAAGCCAUUAUUCAAGUAGGUAGAGUAAUAUUUCUCGUUCUUUACUUUCAUUCUUUUGACUUUGUGCAUUUCCUCAGUGUCCUCCAUUCCGAUUAAGUUAUCAAGGACUAGGUGAGCCAUUGUGUUUUGCUGCAUUUGGUCCAUUGGCCACCACAGGUUUUUACUUCUCAAACAGCAACACAAAUAUUUCAAGGUAUCUUCUGGAACAAUGAGGUUCCCUAAUUGCUGUACAACUUAGUUGAAGACCAUUAUUUCACUUGCAACUCAACCUAAAUGGUUUUUUAAAUAUUCUGAUAUGUCAGCGGAAUGGCACUUCUCCCUCUCACCAAAACAGUUAUAGCUUCGUCUGUUCUUGUUGGGCUGACAACUACUUUGAUACUCUUCUGCAGCCAUUUCCAUCAGGUAUAGCUCUGGCUGACAAUACAGUAUCCAAUGUACAAUUUUUUCCCCCCAAGUAGUCCAGUGUAGUAUUACUUUGUUUUGUACUGAGAAAAAUUCUUAUAAGCAGAUACACCCUUUUAUUAUGUAGAUUGAUGGAGACCUUGCUGUUGGAAAGAUGUCUCCACUGGUAUUUCUUCUACCAUAAAACUAAGUUCAAAUUUCCUUUACUAAUUUUGACUUCGCACCCAUAACUUUUUUUUAUUACAAUACGGGUUUUGUGUACCUGAAUCUGCCAACAGGUAAGAAUUGGCACUAAAGCAGGAUCGCGGAUAGUGUCAAUUGGGAUUCUCACGCUUUACAUUCUCUUGGCUGCAUUUGGCUUAUGUAGAUCUCUCCCACCAGCUUGCAUUGUGAGCUACUUUCAACCGAUCAUACCGCCCCAUAAAAAAAUUAGUGAUCUUGAAUUGCAGUUGUUGGCUCAACCAUUGCUACAAUAAUUUUCAGGUCCUCUGUGCCCUUACUCUGCCCAUGGGCAAAUUGGUUGUGGACUAUGUGCUGAAAAAUCACGAGGUAAAUCACUCUUCUCCCCUGCGUUUCUCUGAAAAAAUGAAGAUGCCAUUUUGCACUGAUACAGUUUGACAUCACACGCCUUCAGGACAACACAAAGAUAUUCAUGGCGAAGUACUACUGCGUGCGCUUGCACGCGCUGUUUGGGAUGGCACUAGCUUCGGGUUUGUUCUUGGCCCGUAAUGGUAUAUUAUCCUGACAGUGACAGAUAGAUAGGCAGCAUUGAAAUCCAGGAGAGGAUCCAGAGCAGUAGAGCAACAUGCAGUUUCAGAUUCAGCGAACGCACAGCCUUCAAUUGCGUUCUGAACUAACUUCAGAUUCGACAACCGAACAGACUGAGCAAUGAGAUCGGAUGCAGCACUGAACAGGAGCAGUUUUGCCAAGAAACGGAAGAGGAAUGGCCUAGGAGAAGUAUGACUACUACAACGUCAGAACUCAGAUGCACACCGGCCCGUAUUGGACGGCAAGUUGCGAGUUGAAUGAAGAGGACCAUUUGCUUCAGGAUCCGGUUUUUGCCCAAGGAGCACGCCUUGUAUGUACGCUUUGACCCGCUCGGGCUUGCUCGUGCACGGUCAGAUUGCCGUUGCGCCGGGGGACGAGUCAUCAUCAUGGAUAUGAAUUGAUUACCAAGCGAGGACGAGUCAUGUACAAGCAUUACUUCUCUCUGCACAAACGUACCGACUGACCAUAGAGAUUUUGGGAGAUUUCAUUCACAUUCACACCGUUUUAUUUCACAUUUUGCCUUUGUACUUUUGGUUAGUGGUUUGCCAGUGGCCGUUAAUUUCUUGUAAUUGCAACGUCCUGUUUCCAUCUGUGCAAGCUAGAGUAUUAAACGGAUGCUACUGUGUACUGACAACGCUAUAACUACUGCUGCUGCAAAGUGUUCCCCAUACUGGUCAAUCCUUACACUGACACACAGUCAAGGCCAUGCUCACACAACGUGAUGCGCAGAAACCGCACGACCCAGCACAAAUCCAACCUGAUGGUGUUGGCAUAAACAACCAAAGCAGCUGGAAAAGUAUAUUGAAAGUGAAAUGCUACUAGUAUACAAUGCAUUCAGACGAUAAAAAACACACCAGAUAAUCAAAUAAUUUGACCGUACAAACGCAGUUUACAGGAAGGAAACAAACCACUGGCAUCUUCUCAGCACAUCACUUUCCAAAUUGGACUUCGUAGUAACUGUUACCUAUGAUAUCGAUAAAUCGAUCUUUGACAGAAAUGGACAUCUGUGCUUCUCAGCUCCCGCUUUUCAAUCAACUUGGUUCACAGUAAAAUUCUCCUUAGUGGAGCACCUCGCAUCAACACCACCCAAUUGAGUGUUGACCAGAAACUCAGCAAUUGUGGAAAGGCAUAUCCCAGAGAGUGAUUUAAAGCUUGUAACUAAAAUAUGCUCGUCCCACAUUCAUCAAUCGGCCAAAGAACCACCUUUGUUCCAACGUCGACAGCUUCAGGAAUCAGGGAGGUUAAAACUAAAACAGUGGAAAACAGAGAAUUUUUUGCUCUUGCCAGUCAUCCAGUAGAGAAAAACGAGUUACCACCAGCUUAUCAAGCAGCUAGUAGUUCCGGAUCCAACCAUUCAUAUUUGGUUAACACGUGUUGUUUGGUUGGUUCUACAGUAACGCUCGUAUCUCCAAUCGGUAACGUCUGCAGCUUUAAAUCAUUUACAUUUGUGUUACCACGAUAACACAAAUGUAAAGAAAUUUAGUUUAAUCGUAUCUCUCAUUGGUAAUGUCCGUAGCUUUAAAUCAUUUACGUUAUCUACUACAGAUGUUGAGCCAUAGAGGCUUCAGUACAAGGUGGACGAACUGGUUAACAGCAAUGCUCAGAUUCUCAUCAUCAAGAGUUAUGCUAAAUGGGAGCGCAGGUCCAAAGCUGAUGCAUGCGCGGGGGUUAAGACAGGGCGACCCACUGUCACCUUACUUAUUCAUCUUGGCGAUGGAUGCUCUGAGCAGGAUCUUUGAUAUUGCCACUGAGGAAGGACACUUAUCACCACUAAAAGGACGACAAGCCAGGCUUCGUCUCUCGCUAUACGCGGAUGAUGUCAUGAUUUUCACCAACCCAGUUAAGGAAGAUAUUGCCUGCAUCAUGAGGACAAUGAAGGCGUUCGGAGAAGCUACUGGCCUGAACAUAAACAUGGCAAAAAGCUCAGUGGCUACUAUCAGGUGUGCUGACUUAAACAUGGAUGAAAUACUCUGUGACUUCACAGGAAGUAGAGUAUCCUUCCCCAUCCAAUACCUAGGUCUGCCUCUCACUAUUGGGCGAACGAGGCUGGUACACUUGCAAUACAUACAAGAUAGAGCAAGGAGCAAGCUAGCUGGAUGGCAAGGGAAGCUUGUCAAUAUUGCGGGCCGGCGGGAGCUGGUGAAAUCAGUGCUCAGCUCGCUGCCAGUGUAUCUACUAACUGUUAUCAAGGCGCCAAAACAAUUCUUGAAGGAAAUUGAUAAAAUGAGAAAGAAAUUCCUAUGGGCUGGUGAUGGGGAGCUCACCGGUGGAAAAUGUAAGGUGGCAUGGCCAAGAGUCUGUACACCUAAGCCUAAUGGCGGUCUCGGCAUCAAAGACCUGGAUUAUUUUAGCCGGUCACUUAGGCUCAGAUGGUUAUGGUUUAGUUGGGAAGAAAGACCAAGACCGUGGGAAGGCCUAGAAAUUCCAGUAACUGAGGAGGAUAAAGCAGUUUUCAACGCUGCCACAGUUAUCCAGCUUGGAAAUGGCAAGAGAGCUUCCUUCUGGAAAUCAAGAUGGCUCAGUGGUCAAGCUCUGGCUACACGCUUUCCGCAGCUGUACAAGCAUAGCAAAAGGAAAAAUAGGUCCGUGGCGCAAGCGCUGACUGACAAUAGAUGGAUCAGUGAUAUUGACCACAGCUUAACACAACAGAUCAUUGUCCAAUACAUUGAACUUUGGGAGUUGCUGGAAGACAUAACGCUCAUAGAUUCUCAAGAAGACACCAUCACCUGGGUGCUCACAUCUGAUGGCGUCUACUCAGCUAGUUCUGCUUAUGCUGCACACUACAUUGCAAGAACCAAGUGCGAGCAUGCAAUGCAGCUAUGGAAGAUCAAGGCGCCUCCUAAAUGCAAAUUCUUCCUUUGGCUACUGCUACAAAAUAGAGUCUGGACAGCAGCCCGUCUACAGGUCAGGGGAUGGCCAAACGAAUAUUUCUGUCAAUUAUGCCUAAGAAACCUGGAAACGGCACAUCAUCUCUUCUGCGAAUGCCCAACGGCCAAGGAAAUCUGGAAGCAUGUGGGGAUUUGGGCUCAGGUCCCCUCCCUGAGGCCUGAAAACUGGACUCACGAGGAAAACUUGCAAGACUGGUUUGUUGCGCUGAUUGCUGACACUUCAAAGUCUGCUCGUCCUGGAGUGGGUUCGGUAAUCGUCAUCGCCAUCUGGGAGCUAUGGUUGGAAAGGAACAACAGGGUUUUCAAGAAAAAUUCCAACACGGUCCAGCAGAUUGUACACUCCAUCCAUGAUGCAGUGCGGAACUGCAUAACUGCAGGGAACAAAGGCCUAGUGCAGCUCAUUCAACAUCGGUCGACAACGACGGCUCCCGCUUAGAAAACUUGUUUUUACUUGUUGUCUUAUUUUACUAAUGUAAAUCAUUAUUAGAGAUUCAGGGGUGGCUUGGGACCAUUUUUUGGUUCCUGAACAAUUUGUAUUAGCGGCGCGCCUUGUGCCGCUAACUCAUACUGUAACUUGCCCUUUUCUAGAUCAAUGAAAGCCGGUAACGGAUCUUUCGAAAAAAAAAAAAGAUUACCUCAAUCGCAAAAGAUUGCGACACCUGAUCCUUACCCAUGUCGUGUGGCGGCCAUGUUUGGUUUGCACCUGGAAAGGCUACCUGGCCUAGACAACAAUCUUAGGCAUUCAAAUUUAGCACUUGCCUAAUGGUUGUAUGUUGUUGCCUAGGCCAGACAGGUCUUGAGGACACCAACCAAACAAGCAUCAAGGACCUGCUUGCCUUGCGCGGGCGUCGCUCUCAUCAGGCGUGUGAUUUUGGUCGCCUAGCCUUACGAUGCAUGCUUGGCCCUAAUUGGCCCCAAAGAAGUUCUGGAGCGUUCAAUGCCCAGCACAAAAACUGCUACAGUACUCAUGAAUCAUGUAAAUAAAAAUAUGUUCAAAAAAAAUCUAAACUUUUUGUGGUUGGAGAACUUAAAUAUAAACCAUUUUAACUUUUACACUAAAAAAUUAACUGAAAAAAAGGAAAAAAGAAGUAAGAAGCAAUAAGAUGAGAAUCUGUGCAAAACCAGCCUCCAGCCGUUUCAUGAAUGUUGUUGGCUUAGGCUAGACAGAUUUGGAAAGGCCGUUUGGAAGUGAUUCCAGGACACCAUCCAGACGAGCAUUGAGGGUUUGCUUGCUUUAACCUCAUGCAAAACUCCCUGGCGCCGGCGUAGCUCUCAGACAUCUGAUUUUGGACACCCAGGACAGGAUGCUUCUGGGGGUUUGCCUCGAGGGCACAAAGCAAACAUGCCCUAAUUGCCCCCCAAGAACUUCUGGAGUCUUCAAUGCCCAGCGCAAAAACUUCUACAAUACUACUCAUGAAUCAUGAUGAACAAGCCCAUGAUUGACAAAGAGAGGGCAGGGCCAAACGGCGAUGUGUCACCAAACAUGCUUUGUAAUUCAUUCAUGUGACCAUAAUUAGAUGAGCCACCGUGCGUCCGUGCGCCACAAAACAAACGAGGUCCAUGUCACACCAGAAACCAAAGCUUAGUUGCAAUUGUCUACCGAACAAAAUCUAUUACGAACAAGGAUCCAAAUAUCCAGCACAGAACAAAGACCAAGUCUUUAUAUCGAAUCGCAUGCACAGGAAACCAGAUUAGGCUAGUCCCAAUCCUUUUGACCUCACAAGUCACAAGCAAGAACAUUGCAGUUGAAAUGAGUUUACUUUUAACUGCAAGUUUAGCCAAUCAAGAGUAGAUGGGUCCCAUCAAAGAUAAAAACUACUUACUAUAUAUCAUCAUCCUAAAGAAGUUUUGGAUAUGAGAUUCCGCCAUACAUAUUGCUUGCAUAAGCUUUGUUACAAAAAGAUUAGCCAAACAUGAGCAAUCCAUAUUGGUUGCCAACCAAGCGCCGCAUGUCCCAUAUACACCAACAAAAUAUCAAGGCAGGUGGAGCACGCUAGGAGGGAGAAAAAAGAAAGAAUUUUUGAGCUAAAGGCUUUUGAGAAUUGAGAGAGAGAGAGAUGAGAGCUAACAGAAUGUGAAGGUAUUGCUUGCUGCUUCCUCCUUUGGUCGCCGCCCGCCGCCUCGCCAGAUCUCUCCUACACCAGCCGUAUGUACACAUCGGCGGCGGCGCAACGGUCUGCGUCACGGGUCGCGGACGCGGGGACUGGUGGCCGGCAUGGGCACGCCAGGCGACGGCGGCGUCCGCGGCGAGGGCAAGCAGCCGAAGCCGAGCGGCGACGUGGGCACGUGGAUCGGCGAGGGCAUCCCGCGGAGGCGGCGCAUGUAGGCGGAGAUGGGCGACUCCGCGGUCAUGCAGACGGCCGGGAGCGGCGGGAGCGGGGAGAGCGCCGGCGGCGCCGGCGGAAGGAUGGGCGGCGGGCGCGGCGGGGCCAGCGGCGGCGGGCGGAUGCGGUGGAGGCGGGAGGGUAUCGCCGUCGGCGGCGGCGGCGCCAUGAUGUGAGGCGGAGGAGGAGGCGGCGGCGGCUGAGGCGGUGCCAUGAGGGGAGGCGGGGGUGGUGGCGCCAUGAGAGGGGCGCGGGCGGGGGCCGGGGCGGCCGCCGGCUGCGGCGGCAGGAGGUGGGACGGCGAGCCUGUGAGCUUCUGCACGACGUCGCGGAAGUUGGACUUGUCGAUGUUGUACACCGGCGGCUGGGGUGGCGGGUGGUCGGCAGGGACGGAGGAGGCCUGCGGCGGCGGGAGCGGUGCGGGUGGCCGAGGAGCCGCCGGCGGCGGGGAAGGCGCUCUCAUGGUGGGAGCGGGAGCGGGAGCGGAGGAGACGGAGGUGGAGGACGACGGUUUGGAGAUCUUGUAGGAGGCCUUGUUGAGGGACUUGAGCGAGGAGGAGGGAGGAGGCGGCGGCGGCGGUUGUGACUUGUCCAUGACCAUGGCGGAAGAGGGGGGAGAGUGGUGGGAGAUUGGGAUUUGGGGAGAGUGUGAGAGGGGAGUAGGGAGGGAAGGAUGCUGCUGAGCUUUGGAUAGGCGGGCGACAGGCUCUCCUCUUCUGGGGCAAACCGAAGCGAAAACAGGCGCAGUGGGCGGCAGUGCGGUGGUAGCAGUGUCCGGGCUAGCCGACUGGUUCUGGUGGUGUGCCUGCCUCUGCAUGCUCGGCGCUUCAGCCGCUCACUCCAGGCAGCUCUCCUUCCUUCCGAUGCACUGCGCAUUUCGGCGGACUGCAGUUUCGCGAGCUUUCUACGUGUUUUUCGCGACCUAAAAAACAAUUAUUUAGGUUUAGUUGGUAAAAAUGUUUAGAUUUGACUGUUAGUAUUUUUAUUUGUAUUUAUCAGUUAUUGUCAAAUCAUAGACUAACUAGCUUAAAAAUUUUGUCUUACAAAUUAUAAGCAAACUAUAUAUUUAUUUUUUAUCUAUAUUUAAUGCUUCAUGUAUAUGCUGAAAUUUUUGAUGUGACAGAGAAUUUUGAAAAAAAAAAAAGAACUAAACAAGACCUUGGAUUUCCUCACUUCUUUCGUGCCAUAGAUAUGUUCGCUUGGCUGGUAAUUCAUAGCUGAAAGUACUAUUCGCUGAUUUGUUAUGAGAGAAAAAUACCAUUAAAUAGCUGACAGAUUCACUUGAUAAGCUCAAACACACAGACUAAUCCUUUUUGCCAGGAUUUCGUAUCAUUAUUAGGCCUUGUUUAGUUCCAAAUUUUUUUACAAAAUGGACACUAUAACACUUUAUUUUUAUUUGACAAAUAUUGUCUAAUUAUAGAUUAACUAGGCUUAAAAGUUUUGUCUCGUAAAUUAAAAACAAACUAUACAAUCAGUUAUUUUUUUAUAUUUCAUCCAUGUUUAGUGCUCCAUAUAUGUGCCGCAAUAUUCAAUGUGAUAGAGAAUUUGUAAAAUUUUGCAAAUUUUUUUAAACUAACAAGGCCUUAGUCCAUACUCCAGAGGCCACAUAGGAGGAGGAUUCAUGUGAGUUGUGAGGAGCAGCAAAUUUUGUGGCGUUCAUGCUUUAAAAAGGAAUUGUGGCGUUCAAAAGUGCUGAGGCCAUUUUUUUCGGCCGAGGCCUUGUUUACUUACAAAAUAUUUUGCAAAAUGUAAAUAGUAAUAGUUUCGUUUGUAUUUGACAAAUAUUGUCCAAUCAUAAACUAACCAGACUCAAAAGAUUCGUCUCGUCAAUUCCGACCAAACUGUGUAAUUAGUUUUUAUUUUUAUCUAUAUUUAAUACUUCAUGUAUACGUCUAAAGAUUCGAUGUGACGGGAAAUCUGAAAAAUUUUACAAAAAUUUUUUGGAAACUAAACAAGGCCCGAAGCGGAAGCAGCCAGAUUGGCCAUGGCCCCCUGGAAGCAAUCACUGCCGCAACAAGAAACCGUACGGCACCAGCACCACACACACACACACAAUCCACAGGGCGCUAGGGGAUGGACCACACACACACGCACCAUCAAAGUAAGAUACUGCCGCUAGAAAGCAGUCGAAGGAGAAGGAGGAGGAGCAGCAAGCCCCAAGUAAUCUACUCCUACUCUACUUGAUCUACUCCUCCUCGGAUUAGACAAAUAGACAAACCCAAGCAGCCAAAGUGGGCAUGGCAUGGCACGGAGGCAGGCAAGCGGGAUGAAAAGAUGUGGUCGAUCAGCAAGGGGACGCGAGGCGUAAAGACAAGUCCCGAGAGAUUACGAGGGCCAUUUAGCGGGGAGCCAUGUGGAGCCGUAAUCGCGCUCUUUUGUUUAAUGCUCCAAUCGCUUUCCAGCUUUUAAAUUACGAUUACGAUACGACAGCACGCACGGGAAGCUGCUUUGACCGAAAGGGUGGCUUUGACCGAGCGGGGGCAGAAUCGUCUCUUCAGAUGGGGCCACCUAGGCUGGAGUUCGUGCUGGUCUACUGGAGCAGUAGCACGCAAAGGAUAUCUCUCAACUCCCAUCUCGCUGUUUGAAAGAAGAAAAAAUAUGAAAAAGACUUGGGAGGAUGGGAUACGGUGUGGUUUCAUCUUAUCGUCGCUAGUCGCUACGCUACUAUUUGCCGGUGCAAAUUAUGCAGAUAUUUUCUGAUAGUAUUUGAGACCAAAUUUCUUUAGAGAAGUUUAAAUUAUUUGUAUCUAAGUUCGGAUAUUUAAUAUAUAAUAUUAUAUUUGUAUUCAAAUACUUAAAUCUUAUAUUUAUGAUGUCGAUAUUUUCAGUUGUAUCAUAUUUGUCAUACUAUUCGUAUUCUAAUUUGAUCUGAUUAAAAAUAUAAAAACAAAUAUAUAUUGAUGAUAUCUAUCUGUAUCUGAUCCAUUUACGUUUCUAUUGUUGGAUUUCAAAAAUGUAGCUUAUUAGUCAUAAGCGGCAUCAGUUUCUGAGUUUGCUUUUCUGACUUUAUAUUGUUGUGGUAUACUAGCAUAUGCAUAUCCUUAACUCCUUAAGGAUGUGUUUUGAGCUAAACAGUGUGUCUUCAGUGCAUGAACAAGAUCCCAAUCAGUUACAAUUGGUUGUGUCUUGAAAAUUGAGGGAUCCUAGUUUGUUUUUAAGUUCAUUUUCUAAAAGAAAUGAAGAAAUUCAUAGAGGAUGGUGCUAACAUAUACCGUGUUAAAGAGGUAAAUUAUGAUCCACUCUCUAUCCCUAAAAUAGUAUAAUUCUUGCUAUAAAUCUAGAUAAAUGUUUGUUCAACGCACCUAGAAUUACGUUCUUUCGAGGACACAGUGUAUAUCUCAUAAUCUUAUCUUACUGUUAUUAAUUGACUAUUGAAGCCCCCAAUUUCAUAGAGAGAGAGAGAGAAAGAAAUCCUAGAUUAUUGCAAAGAAAGAAACACUCGACCAUCAAAAUAAGUGUAGAACUAUUGCAAAGAAAAGAAACACUCAGCCAUCAAUUCGGUGGGCUAAAUAUUAUUGACAACAUGAACCAUUGAAUCAUUUUCUUAAAAAAGAACACCCGCACUUUCCAUAACGAAAGAAACCUAAAGUAACAAUUCUAAAGUUAUAUCUAAAUUACCUAACUCAUUCAUUUAAAACGAUAAUAUAAAGUAAUUGUCUACCAUUACCCAUCCAAUAACUAUAUUAUAUAAACUUAACAAAGUUAACAUUCAAAAUUUUCACCCCUACUAUUAUUAAGGGCACUCACAAUGCAGACUCUAUCAUAGAGUCUAAAAUUAUUUAUUACCUCGAACAAUGUGGACUUGAAUUCUUAUUUUUUCUACCUCUUUCUUCAAUAAAUAUGUUGUCACAUCAGCAAAAUACUAUAAAUAAUAUGUAAUUAAUUGUCUUAGACUCUAUAAUAGAGUCUUACAUUGUGAGUGCCCUAACAUCCCCUCAAUUUUACUUCUAACUACCCACGUCUGCUGCUCUUAAAUAAUAAAAAAAAAUAAAAAGUGAUAUGGUGGCUGUUAGUGGGCGUGACGACCCGGGAUCCAGUCCCUUUGGGCUGGAAAGAUUGCACUGUGUGUGCAAUUGCAGUACGUACACAAAAAAAAAGGAGGCAUCUCAUACAGAAAGAUGGCAGACAAGAAUAUGCAGAACGCUUCAUAAACAUUUUCUAUCAGCGAGAAAAAAAUAUCAUUGAGAGACGCAAAUGGGUACUAGUAUGUGCUGUGAAGGCGCUGCAAAUUAGCAUUGACAGGCGCAAAUGGGUCCUAGAAAUGUCCAGGAAACUGGUAGAAAAAACAAGGAAUAAAGAAGAAAAAAUCCUUUAAACCCUUCAACUUUCAAGAUCGUCCGAUUUCUCCUGUCAAGAGAAAAUCCCUGUUUUAGACUCACCCAAUAGUUUUAGCCUACGUGAUUGUCGGUAGUCUUGUGUAGUGCCAUAUCAUCCGUGACAGAGGUAUUGAGGUAAUCGACUAGUUUAGGAAUGUUAAAUAGACUUUAUAAAUAUAAAAUAUAUCUUUUUACAAAUUUUUCUUAAAAAACAUAUACAAUUAAAAAUCAAUCAUAUUUAAAUUUUAAAAAUGUUUUAGAUCAGAAAAAUAUGAAACCAAUUUUUAAAUCAAUGGUAUUUAAGAUAAAACUAAUCAUACACGUUUAAAGAUAAAGUUGAAUCAAUUUUUUUUACCUUUUAAAAUUUUGAAUAUAAGUUUUCAAAUCUUGGGCCUGCCUCUGUCUCAAAUGGUGUGUCCGGUUUAUCCUAGGUCAAGAAUCCUUUUUACCUUAUAUAGCUUAACAACUUAUAUUUAUACCUCGGGACAUUAUAACAAAGUUCACACUGUGAGUGCGUAUGGUCAAGCUCUGAAUUUUUGUAGAAAUACAUCGUGUGAUGAAUCACAAAUUUUGGGGUGUUACAUACAAGGAUCCUUUAGGUGUGAUAAGCUAUAAUAAAGGCCCUAUAGUUGUAACAAGUUGUGACAAUGACCUUCUAGCUGUGAGAGGAUACCUUAGUUUGGAGAUAUUAAAUUUUAGGAUAUUACAGACAAAGGUCCUUUAAGUGUGACAAACUGUGACAAAUGUCUUAUAACUGUGACAAGCUAUAAUAAGGACCCUGUUACUGUGACAAGGGCUCUAUAGUUGUGACAGGUUACCUUGGUUUGGAUACAUGAAAUAUGACCAAGACUAUAUUUUUACUUUGGUUUAGAGACAUGAAAUAUUGGGGUGUUACAGACAUGGACCGUUUAGAUGUGACAAGCUGUGACAAAGGCCCUCUAGUUGUGACAAGCUAUAAUAAGGGCCCUGUAGCUGUGACAAGCUACGACAAGAACCCUAUAACUGUGACAAGCUGUGACAAGAGCCCUAUAGCUGUGACAAGUGUCCUAUACCUGUGACAAAGACCCUAUAACUAUGACAAACUGUGAAAAGGGCCAUGUAGAUGUGACAUGCUGUGACAAUGGCCCUUUCACCGUGACAAGCUGUGAAAAAGGUCAUAGACCUGUGACAAGCUCUGACAAGAGCCCUAUAGCAGUGACAAGAUGUGACAAGGACCCUGUUGCAAUGCCAAGCUGAAAGGUCCUAAUAUGGCUAGAGGUGGAUGGAUAGCCUAUUUAAAAAAUUCUAUAAACUCACUAGAGCAAGAUGUCAGUAAAUAACAAAGCAAAGCUUUUUGCUAUAGCUCUAAUGGGGUGUUUGCAAGCCACCUAUCCAACAAUUCUAGUUGCUAUAAUCACUAGGCACACAAGAGCUAUGUCACUACAAGCUACACUAGUGACCUAUGCUACACAAUACCAAGUAAGCAACUAAACUAAUUACACUACUUCGCGGUAAGUAAAUGAAGAGGAUGAAAUAUUUUAUACCGCCGUGUAGGAGAUGAACCAAUCACCAAUAUGUGAACAAUCAAUCACCGGGAGAAUGUCAAUCAAACACAAAUGAGACACUGAUUUUUCUUCCGAGGUACACGAGCUUGCCGACCCGCUACGUCCCCGUUGUGUCGACCAACACUUGGUGGUUCGGCGGCUAAGAAGUGUAGCAUGAACCUCGUCCUCACUAGGACACUGCAAGAACCUACCCACAAGUGUGGUAGCUCAAUGACACGAGCAAUCCACUAAAGUUGCCUUUGGCUCUCCGUCGAGGUAGACACAAAACCCCUCACAAUCACCAGGAGAUGCCCAUGAACAAUCACCAACUCGUACCAAUGCUCAUCUGCUGCUCCAAUCCGUCUAGAUGGCAGCAACCACCAAGAGUAAUAAGAAAACCGUAGCCAAAUCAAUCCCCAAGUGCCACUAGAUGCAAUCACUCAAGUAAAUGCACUUGGAAUCACUCCCAAUCUCACAAAGAUGGUUAAUCUAUAAAAGAGAUGAGUGGGAGGUGUUUGCUUAGGCUCACAAGGAUGUCAAGUAUGCUAGAAUGCCAAGAGAGUGAGCCCUAAGCCGGUCAACAACUAUUUAUAAGCCCCUCAAACAAAUAGAGUCGUUGGCUCUUUCACUGGACAGAAGUCGGGUGCACCAAAUGCGCAGCCAGUGAGCCAUCGGACGCUCGAACCCUGCAUCCGGUGCUCAGAAGACAGCCAUGUGUUCCCUAAUUGAAUCUAACAUCUAACAGUCACUUUCAAACCACCAAACACGGUUAAGUAGGCACCGAACGCGUCCGAUGCACACCGAAUCCGUACGCAGAGAGAGUAUUUUUCGCGCGAGGUCACCGGAUGCGCCCCUCAGCAUCAGACCCUUAUUCAAAGAGCACUACAAACGCGCAGACAUCGAAUACGUUGAAAUCCCUAGUUUGGUUUUGGAUAAUUGAUGAAACCCUAGUACUAACCUUUAUACUAAGUGUGUGUAGACUUAAUGAGGUUGGUACAUGCGAAGUGAUGGAGCAAGAGAUGAUCAUAGUGAUAAUCGUGAUGACCACAAGAUGAUUAAGUGCUCAACUUGUAAAAGAAGAAAGAGAAAAACAAAACCCUAUGAAAAUCAAGGCAAAGGUAUUGCUUAGGGUUUUGGUUUUGGUGAUCAAGACACCAUAGAGGGUGUGAUCACAUUUAGAAUAAAUAGUCGUACUAUAAAGAGGGGAAUUCUUUGGCUAAGCGGCUAUCGAGUGCCACAAGGUGUCAUUGUUCAUAUGCAUACAUGUAUAACCUAGUGAGCUAAAUUAACUCCUUUCGAAGAAAAUGAUUGUGAAAAUACUAACACACUUGCACUUGUUGGUACAUACUUGGUGGUGUUGGCACACUUUAAGGUGGAGUUUAGGUUCCUCUCAAAAUGAAACACAUAUUUUCUAACGUUUUAUUUGACAAUUAUUAUUUAAUUAUAGACUAACCACGCUCAAAGAUUUGUCUCGUAAAUUACAGCUAAAUUGUGCAAUUAGUUAUCUCUUUUAUCUAUAUUUAAUGCUUCAUGCAUGUGUUGCAAAAUUUGAUGUAACACAAAAUCUUGAAACAUUUUGGGAACUAAACAAGCCCUAAAACCGGUAAUACAAUGCAGCAUGUACAUGCUCAGCAUUACUUAUCUGGACCAUCCAAAUGUGCUCUGAGAUUCGUGCUGCUGCACUACUCUCAACUGUGUUCACACUUAUCCCAACUGUUUCACACAUCUUGAUACAUAUUAAACGGUGUAGAUAAGGAAUGCCCAAUAUGUACACCCCAAAAAACUGCUUCCCCCUAAAACAGAGGAACGCAAUCCCGUGCGUUUCUUGUAUUUGUAUUCACCGACGCUGCACUGACACACCAUAUGUGGUGCGACACCAACGCUAUUUUCACGGUUUCACCAAUGCGAACCUGCUAUCUCGCAGCUUUAUUCAGACUUGUUUAGUUGUCAAAAAAUUUCAAGAUUUCCCGUCACAUCGAACUUUACAGCACAUGCAUGGAGUAUUAAAUUUAGACGAAAACAAAAACUAAUUACACAGUUUAUCUGUAAAUCGCGAGAUGAAUCUUUUGACUCUAAUUAGUCUAUGAUUAGACAACGUUCCUAAGCUGGGCAGGCCUGUGAGUUUAUCGCGGGAACAAGAUUACACUACAGCGGGACGCACCGCCGGCCAAGCAGUGGUCCGCUCGAGCGUUUGGCGCCGCGCCGCCGCCUGAGACGUGUCCGUGUCCGUCCAUAUGCUUGAGCGCACGGCCGCCGUUCGCGUGCUGGGGGACGCUAAACCCCACGUUUUUGCGAGUGUUGAGACCACCGAGGCACCGAGCGAUGCCGAGUCGUCGACGUGCGGCUGUGGCCUCUCUGCGGCAGCGGAACAGCGAAUCUGCUCUUGGCGUCUUUGAAUUUUGAGUGAUGGGCCGUGGGCGCACCGCCCUUGAGAGCAAAACUGGCAGCGGGCCGUUGGAUCUGCUGGACGCUCCCCUCUCUAAGCUGUAAAACGCAAGCCAUUUCACUUGAUUCAUUUCAAGGUUACGCACUUACGCUUUGCCGUAUGCUCUUGCAAAAUCAGAAUCUCUACAUACCAGUACAUGUAUUGCUCAGCAAGGGAAGGGUCAGCUGACUUUUUUUUCUCCCUUUUUGAGAAAAAUAUCAUUCAGGCCUUGUUUACUUCAUGAAAAUUUUUUAUUUUCGCUACUGUAGCAUUUUCGUUUGUAUUUGAUAAAUAUUGUCCAAUCAUGGACUAACUAGGCUCAAAAAAUUCGUCUCGCAAAUUAAAGGCAAACUGUGUAAUUAAUUUUUGUUUUCGUUUAUAUUUAAUGCUUUAUGCAUACGUCCAAACAUUCGAUGUGACGGAAAAUCUUUAAAAAAAAUUGGAUUUUUGGAUGGAACUAAUGAAGAACGACUUCUCUACCGAGCAGGAAUUGAAUAGACCACCAUCUUCGCCGCUAGCUAGGAGAACUAGAGGGCUAGCAGAGGCAAUGCUCCCCUCUCCAAGCACAGGGAUUCAUUUAAAUACCUAUAUAAAUAUUGAUAUUUGUAGCAUAAAAAGUAUCAAUUUUACAAUUCUUUUUAAAAUAUGAUGAUUUUAGUAAAAAAUAGUAUACUUUUUUUAAAAAGGUUUUUCAAACAUAUCAUUAUGUAUAUUAUAUCAUAUUUUGUUCGACUUCUUUAAUCACUGCCACUCAUCUUCGCGGAUCGAAAUGCACGGCUAACAUCACAUGGACCACCUUCCCUAGCAUUCAUUGUCGUUGGACCUGAAGUUUCAAGAAUGUCGUGUGGGCUGGCUCUCCCGUGGGUAAGAGAAUUCAGCCCUAAGAAAUAAUGCGGUCCACCUCAUAGUGAGGCCGAAGCAACGAAGCCCAACUUAUUGAGCCUCCAGUCCACUGGGCUCGAUUGCAAAAAUACCUUGGCAUGAUCUGACCGAGCCUAGUAGCUGUCCUCGCUCAACUGUUACUGAAGUCUUAUUUUUCUUUUUAAACUCUAAAACGGGUGAACCACUAUCCUUAAUUUUUAAAAUAAUGUAUUUUACCUCCCUCAACUUUUGCGUAGUUAUGUUUUUCCUCUCUAAACUACAAAUCGGAUAAACCACCUCUCUGAAGUUAAAAAACUGUUCGUUUUACCUCUCUGACUAGUUAUAAGCGGUUUUAAAAUAGGUUUUGUUUAUUUAUUUAGUUAUUUUGAUUGAAUUUUUUUAAAAAAUAAUAUUAAAUAAUAAGAAAUUCAUAAAACAAAUAAUUCAAUUUUGUUGGACUCUACAUAAGUAAAUUUACACGGUGAAUAUAUAACAUAAUAUGCUUUAGUGCAUUUUUUAUGUAGCUUUAGAUCUAUGGUAUUCAAUAUUUAUUACAUAGCUAUAGUUUUUAUGGUCUAAUUAUAGUAAAAUUUUUAUCAUAGGCUAAUUAUUGUAUAUUUGAACUCUAGUAAAAAUUUCAUAUCCACGGACUGAGCCGCGGAGAGGGCAAGCCACACCGGCUGGCAAGACGCAUGGCGCUGUGCGCCCUGCUGCUGCUUUGGCACCAGCUUGAAAAUCUCCUGCUUGAGCUCCGUCUAGCCCUCCUUCAACUCCUGUAUCUUCGACAGCAGCAGCUCCUCCACCGCCAUUAUUGGCGGGACGCGCGGUGGUGUAGCAACGAAGCCGAAUUUGGCGGCCAACUGUGCUGCCAAAACGGAAAGAAUGAGGUAGGCCGUCGAUGGCGUGAGGCAAUUAUUGGGCCGGGCUCAUUUUUCAGGUGUUGCGUGGUCGCCAGCGAGCGCGACUGAUUGGCGAUUAGAUUUUGCGUUUAGAGUGGAAUUUGCCUUUGAAAUAUCCUAUAUGCAGUCUAGUCCAUGGGCCCUGACCAUUGAACCGCAGCCCACAAGCUACAAGUUAAGGCAUCAAGGCCCAAAGGCUAAGUAAAGUAACGCUUCAGCAUAUCUCUAAACCUCUCUUGUUCUGUUGUGAGUUAUGACUGCAGCUGUUCAACGAAUCAGACCUUGCAGCCAUGGCUGAUGGCAGUCGAGGACAACUUGGUGAGGUGGGCAUCCGCGGCGGAGCCACCUUGCCCUACUGGCCCUCGCCCAUGGUGAUGUGCCUCGGUGCUGGAAUGCUGGCUUCUUGAGUAGCAAGGGUCCCCUUCUUUUUGGGUGGACUGGAGCAACCACCGCACCCCUAGGGCGGGCCCUUGCACGAGAGCGAACAGUGAUGGAGCCAGGAGUCACCAUCGGAGAAGAAAAGCACACGGAGCCUGUAAAGGUUGCACAACGGGAUGAUCUUUUUCGGCUUCUUCGGUAUCCAAAUGCACAUACCGAAUUAACCAUACUUAGUUCAGUUACUUAGAACCUGAGAUGUGAGAUCGAAGCUUUCGAUUUUGGUCACUUCCUUUUGGAUCUCUAUCAUGUUGAUUCAGUUUUCAGUCACUGGUUAAUUAUGGCUGCGACGACUUUACCACUUUAGUACUACAUGGUGCAUUAAAAUUGCUGUUGAAAGCACCCUCCGCGGCGAUUAUAUAUGAUAGUUCAGGGAGAAUCAAUAUAUGGUACCACGGUUCGAGGAGAAAAUCAUACACAUCCAAUAAUCGAAAGGUGUGAAAUACUGUAGAACUUUACCACCCAAUGACGACUUUCGGCAGCCGAGUCGAGCCCACACUGCGGGCACAAGCAUUUUCCACAUGGCGGUCCAGACAUCACUACAACUGACAAGGGCAAAGCAACCGAUGGUUAACAGUUACGGAAUAGAGACUAGUUUUGAACAUGUUCGUUGUACCCUUAGUCAUAGAUCACAGUCACAAAAGAGACUUUGGUUGUGUGGUGCUGGUGCUCGCAGGUUGCCGCAGCAUGUUGUAACUUUUAAGUCCACUAGAUUACUAGUACAUCGUCUAUAAUAACGAUAUUAAGAUGUGCAUCUUUUCUGUGAAUUUGGGAGAAAGAAAAAGAAAAGGGAAAACCGCUGUGGAGCAGUUUGCAUCAUCCCGUUUGUUGGCUCAGCCGAAGCAGCCACUCUGAUACGCAACUAUAGCCUUGUUUAGUUCCGAAAAGAUUUCGGAUUUUGGUACUGUAGCACUUUCGUUUGUUUGUGACAAAUAUUAUUCAAUUAUGGACUAACUAGGAUCAAAAGAUUCGUCUCGCGAUUUCCAGCUAAACUGUGUAAUUAGUUUUUGCUUUCGUCUAUAUUUAAUAUUUCAUGCAUGUGCCACAAGAUUCGAUGUGACGGGGAAUCUUGAAAACUUUUUGCUUUUUGAGGUGAACUAAACAAGGCCUAUGCAUGAAUUCUAGCUGUCUGAAUGUACGAUACGAUGUGAUAAUGCUGCUUGAUGUACAGAGUUGUCGCGUAGAUCAGCACGAUACAGACGAAGUUUCUCAAUCGUUCAACUAAUGCAGACACGUCAACCCUUCACUACCAUUAGUAAUGGACUACUAGUAGUAUGGAUAGACCUGGCAGAGACGGUGCAUUGUCAUUGAAGAGGCCGUGCAAAGGCAAAUUAGCAGGCGUCUUUUUGUUUUUGUUUUCCUUCUUAUUUUAAAGAAAAGUAGCAGCCGUCAGCUCGUCAUCACACUAUAUAUGGCACUUGGCCGCGCUCUCCUCAAUACAGUGGCCACUCGUCACUUCGAGAUCGAUCUCUUCAGUCUUCAGCCACCACCCUCCCAGUUGGCCAUGGUGGAGGAUCGGAGCCCCAAGCCCAUCCAUUGCAAAGGUACUACUGCAACCUCCAUGCUUUUUCUACUCGCCAUGGAUGGAUGUGAACGAGAUCCUGCUGUUAACCUCUACUAACCUUUGAUGUCACCUCGCUCGGGGCGGGGCGUGCACCGAACACGCAGCGGCGGUAUGCAGAGCCGCCGGCGAGCCACUCACCGUCGAGGAGAUCGUCGUCGAUCCGCCGAAAGCCUACGAGAUCCGCAUCAGGGUCAUCUGCACCUCGCUCUGCCACACAGAUGUCACCUUCUGGAAAGCUAAGGUAAGUACAUUCGCUUAAGGUUAUGUACCAAAUUUACCAGCCAUUUAGUAGUAUUUUUUUUAAAACAAAUCAGCGAAAAUUUGAUAGAUGAAUGGAAGCUCAAUAGCUGAAGUUUAGUUUACUGCUCCCUACCUACCUGCUGCAAACACUAACCAAUUCGAGUCUUUUUUUUUUCUAUUCUUUUCAACUUUGUAUAUAUAGGUGGCACCAGUAUUUCCAAGAAUAUUAGGGCACGAGGCGUACGGGUAUGCCCAUCUUUUCCUUGUCCAGCGGAAUCAUGCGAUCCUCGCUUGUUCUGACAUAUCUCUUUCAGCGAUAGAUUUUCCCAUGUUUUUCUUUUAAUUUAAUUUAAUUAUCCACCCGGCACGCACACGGGGGUUGCAAUUGCAAUUGCAAUGCAUGCAGGGUAGUGGAGAGCGUCGGGGAGCACGUGGAGGACUUCGCCGCGGGCGACACCGUGGUGCCGACGUUCCUGGGCCAGUGCUCGCACUGCGGCAGCUGCACGUCGGAGCACAGCAACAUGUGCGACUCGGUGCCGUUCGUCAUCGGCCCCGGGAUGCGGCGCGACGGCACCACCAGGUUCCGGGACGCGCAGGGGAGCCCGCUGCACGACCUCCUCGCCGUGUCCAGCUUCGCCGAGUACACCGUCGUGGACGUGAACCAGGUCGUCAAGCUCGACCCCGCCGUGCCGCCCAAGCUCGCCUGCCUCCUCAGCUGCGGCGCCGGCACCGGUGAGCUGCUAACGCCAGCUUUAAGUACCACUAGCUUAAUUAAUCAGUUGGUGUCUAUUCGAUCUACUGUCACACUGCUGAUCAGUGACAGAAAGAACGUUCAAUAAUUCAGGGGUAGGAGCAGCGUGGAGGACGGCCAAGGUGGAGCCGGGUUCGACUGUUGCCAUCUUUGGCCUUGGAUCUGUCGGUUUGGCGGUAAGCCCCUGUCCUGCACGUAUCUUAGUUAUUCUUGUGUUAAUCAUAUGCAUGCGCUGUAACUUGUGGCGGUCACACACUCACACUUUGGUUGGCAGGUGGUCCAAGGCGCCAAAAUGUGUGGAGCAUCCAAGAUUAUCGGUGUUGAUCUCAACCCUGACAAGGAGAACGUAGGCGAGUCGAUCGAUCGAUAUCCUUUCCCAUUUCGUGACAGCAGAUCAGCGCACGUACCAUGCAUUAUCUAGUGCCAGCUGCUAGCUUGUUCUGUAUAUGUCAAAAUUGAAUGGAGAGAAGUAAAAUUGUCCACUCCGCUCUUGACUACUCUUUAUCGCAGGGAGAUCGUUUGGCGUGACAGACUUCGUCAAUCCGUCGCAACUGGACAACCGUUCCGUCAUAGAGGUAAGGAUUAUGAAUCCUAGCGUCGUCGCAGUCUUAUCUCUUAUCUGAAGGCAGCAGCAGUCCAUCACCUGCAAAUGCAUCUUCUCUGUUGUUGGUUCAACUGCAGGUGAUCGUUGAGAUGACCGGCGGCGGCGUCGACUACAGCUUCGAGUGCAUCGGCGUGCCGUCGGUGAUGACCGACGCCUUCAGAUGCACCAAGAUGGUUCGUUAUUUCGUUGUAACUAAUUAACUUGUGAACCGACGAAGCCAAUGCAACUUCGUGCAAGGUGUUAGUAACAUCUGAAAGAAAGAAAAAAAUUGGUGUCGGCAGGGAAAGGGCAAGACGAUCGUGCUGGGGCUGGGAAGGGACAGCGACCAAGUGUGCCUGCCGUCGCUGGAGCUGCUGUUCGGCAGGUGCGUCAUGGGGACGCUCUUCGGCGGGAUGAAGCCCAAGACCGACAUCCCCAUCCUCGCCAAGAAAUGCAUGGACAAGGAGCUGCAGCUGGACGCGCUGGUUACGCACGAGCUAGGACUGCAGGAGAUCAACACGGCCUUCGACCUGCUCCUGCAGGGCAAAAGUCUGCGCUGCAUCAUCUGGAUGGACAAGGACAACAAGUGAUGGACAACAGGGGCGGCGCGCCCCGGACCAAACCUGUGGCUCUGAAUAAAUUUGCCGUCUUUCAGUUUGGCGAUGCGAUGCGUCGCUGAAAACUGGUGCUACAAGCGACCAGGAGUAUCUGUUCCUGAAAGCCGACGUUACUCUGGUGUAUCAGUUUCGUUUCGUUGUCUGAAUUGAUUAAUUAUAACGUAUUUGUUACUCAUGUCAUGUAUCGACAUCACUACAUGGAACAGCUGCUAUAUCGCUCAUUCGAACAUCGUAUGAACAGCAACGUUCAGAACUAUAUUCUUUCAAAACGUUCAGAACUAUACUAAAAAAAAAAGGCAAGCUCCCAACUCCCAAGCCGACCUUCAGGUGGUAUACCCGCGUGAGAGAUAGACACACAGCAUGCGAGUGAAAAACGUGUGAAAAGGCAUGGUUUGAAAAUACUGUUUACUGAUUUAUUUUAAGAAAAAAACAUUAUUCGCUGAUAGAAAAAAUACGACUUAUAAGACAAGCGCUCCAUGAAUUUCUCGUGCUUGAAAAAGUUAGGGAUCUUAGGAGGAUUUGAGUUUCAAAAGGGGCCUUAAGGUAUGAACGAGCUCGUUGGGCGCUGAUAAGCAGCUAAUAUUUGUUUAUCUAUAAAAUCAAGAUAUAUGGUGCCUACCUUGGAGUCAAAUCAUUAGAAUACAUGGAUAAUGUUAGCGUGUGCUUUCAUACUCUACUCAGUUAAUUAGGUUAAGCCAAGACUGAGAAAUGGUGAUAGUUCAGUUAGCUUACUUAGUACUCCCUCUAUCCUAAAUUAUACUCUCUCAGUCCCAAAUUAUAAGUCAUUUCAAGAAUCUUGGAGAGUCAAAGUUUUCAAGUUUGACCAAAUUUAUAUAGCAAAAUAAUGACAUUUUUGGUACCAACCAAGUAUCAUUAGAUUCUUUGUUAGUUAUAUUUUCAUAGUGUACCUAUUUUAUGACAUAAAUCUUUAUAUUUCUCUUUAUAUUUUUUGUUAAACUUGAAAAUAUUUUGACUCUCCAAGAUUCUUGAAAUGACUUAUAAUUUGAAACGGAGGGAGUAAGUCAUUUCAAAAAUCUUGGAAAGUCAAACCAUCUCAAGUUUGACCAGAUGUCAAACUUGAGAUGAUUUGACUCUCCAAGAUUCUUGGAAAGUCAAACCAUCUCAAGUUUGACCUUAUGUACUUUCUCUGAUCCAAAAUAACAACAUUAUAGGAUUCAAACUUUGUCCCAAAAUGGUUGUCAUUCUCAUUUUUCAAUGCACAUUUCUCUUCUCCUAAUACACUUUUUUACAAUAUAUUUCUAUCUCUCCUUGUUUUCUAUGUGCCACACCUUUUCACUUCUCCUAAAUUCCUAUGUCCAAAUCUGAAGCUUCAACUAUUUUAUGACGAAGGGAGUAGAUGUUUACCAACAAGGACAUGUAGCCCUUAUACUUACAAACAUCAACUGUACAACCAAGUAGAUAAAAACAAAAGUAUAAAUAUGGGAUAUGAAUGUAAACGAAAUGCAGAACAAAACAAAGAUGCAAGAAGUUGUUUCUCGAAGUCUAGGCUCACUAAAGUGAACCCUAUCUCCAUUGAGGAAACCCAAAGCAACCCAAGGGUUAAGUUAAGUCCAGGUCUCUUUUAACCACUUUCCUCUUUUUAUUAGCUUGAUCUAUUUUCCUUCUAGAGGCAAGAUCACAGCCAUCGUAAACAUCCCAUGUUACAUACUCCAGAAGAUCUAGUGCUCACCAGGAGAGGCCUAAUUGUCUAGGAAGCAUUGUUUGCAAGAGUAAAAAAUGCUCCAUGAGUUGUUUGACAUAGCCACCAAGUGCUCAAGGCUUAGGAUUUCUUAGAAGUUCUUUAACACACCAAAUUUCUUGACUCAAUCCAAAGGUUCUUACUCAAAUUACAAAAAUCCCACAAACUGGAGGUUGGAGAGAGCUCUACUGCCUUCUGAAAUAGUUAGAACAUGAAAGGCACCAACAACUUGCCAAUAGGGGAGGAGAGGGGUAUAAAUACCCCCACCAAAAACUAUUGGCAUUGGAAACUGACUCGACCAAAACUGACAUGCCAAUUUCAACAAAAUGGGACUAGUUAGUUUGCAUGAACUCUGUGGAACUUCCAUACACAUUUUGCCUAAAGAUUCACAUAAAUUUUUUUAUUGAGCACUCUCAAAUGCAUGUUAGGGGUUUCUCUCAUUUUCUCAUAAUGAUUUUUGAGCACAUUGGCCUUGUCUUUCAACGAACGAUGCAUCCCCUCUAUAUAGUGCGGCAUACCUAUACUCAAGAUACAAAGAUAUGCAAAAAGAUCCCACCAUAUAUGAGCCUCUAUGUCUUUAAACUAGUCGUCACUUGAACUUUCACUUUUUGAGGGCUUCCAACAUUGCAUGCAUGGGAGCAAUAACCCUUGAGAUAGUUAGAGCAUCUCUAGUAGGGCCCCUAAACACACUAUACCCUACUUCUCAGGGGUGGAACAAAAAAAAUAAGGUCCAACAUGCCCCCAUCGUCAAGCCCGUAGAUCUAGGAGUCACUCAAAUAACACUACCUAAGCUUCUCCCAUGGUUGAAGUAGGAGAGCCUAUGGUUAAUUUUUUUGCACAUCUAUGCGUGUUCAUUCCUCCUCUCGUAGCCACUUAUCAUCCACACUCUAAUGACAAUUGACUUUCAAUCAUUAGAUUAGCGACCUCCAUGCUGAGAUCCCAAAUCCAUUGUGCUUUGCUCGAGUGUCGUCCUCCCCUAUGCCUGGCCAUGAGGAGAUCCACAUCAUCAACAUGGAUGGCCAUGAUGAGGGUCAUGAUGGCAUGGGUGGUUGUGAGGGCCUAAUGGUAGCAGUGUGGAGGAACUUGAGGAAACAUACCCAUUGGAUCUAUGGAAUCCAGAAGAGCACGAGUACUCCAUGCACUCCAUGUAGAAAGAAAAAGGAAAGGAAGGAGAAAUAAAAACAUGCCCAUCAGAUCUAAUUGACUUACAGGUCUUGCAUGUCAUAAAUAAGUAGGGGUUGAGGUUUUAGGGCUAAUUGUUGGAGUUGUGGGAUGAAAUGAAGGCUUGCCCCAUCUCAUGCAAGUACAGUCCUUGAUUUAGGUAGUAUUUGUUGGAGAUACUCUAACUUAGAAACUUUGUGACCAUGUGAUCAAGACACACUUAAUUUUCAUCCAUAAGUAACCACAACAUAUGAUUCACAUUACAUGAUUGUUGAUGGUUUCAUGAGUUUCUUAGUGUUUACCCAAGUACUUAUUUUCUUUACCCUAACCUUGUUUACUCAGUGUCAAGUCACCAUAUGUUUCCAUUCUUAAGUUAAACCUUGUGUUUGUGUCAACAAUCAUUCAUUUGGGAAAAACAUUUCUUUAUUUGAAUAAUCAUCAAGUGGAUGACAUCUUCAUAGCGCCUUUCUUGAUCAACAUAUGUUGCGAGCAUGGUUAGUUGUCAUCCAUAUGUUUCCUUAAGGCAUACACCUUCCCUUCUCGAAACAUAUCUCUACAAUUGAUUGGAUAUCCACUUAUCAUUUUUUAAUACUAGUAUCAUCAUUCUCUUAACUAAAAACAACCCUACGAGUAAGUCCAUUGUGGGAACCACCAGUGAGGUUUUAUUGUUCGUUAUGUUCCUCUCAUUCACCCUUCCUUCAAGCAUCAACACUAGAUAUAUAUUUGAUUCGCGAAGUGCAAUCUUCUCGAACCAUUUUCAGCAUUUGCAUAGGGUCUUCAGGUAGUGCUAGUAAGUUAGGAGAACUGUUUGUUACUUAUUGUUUGAUACAUCAUACAUAGAUGAAUUUUGGAGGAUCUUGACCAACACACACUAUGCUAUUCUUUCAUUUAUGCAAGAGGUGUGUUUGUGACUAGACCCUUAUACCAUACAAGUAACUAGAUCAUAUAUGGACUUUAAUUUCUCUAUCUUUGGAUGGACAAUAAAAGGCAGGUAGACAUACUUGUACGUGUUAGAGGUACAUUAGAUCCAAGGACCAACAAGGUGGCUCCUUGAUACUCAAAGUUUUGCUAUUAAUUAAUUAAAUUUCUAUGGGCUCUUUAAUCAAAUAUUCUGUCUUCAAAUCCAAUAUUAACUAUCUAUUAUUUUCUAAUUCUAUAAUUAGCUAUUUGUUAAUUGUGUCCAACAUGAAUUCCUUAUCUAGUACUUUUAUUUGUAAUUUGUAUAUAAAGCCCACUACUCUUCUUAUCCAUUUUUAAUUAUGACGAAAGUCAAUAUAUAUUAAUCAUAUUUUGCAUGAUGCUGUUAUAUUUAUUCCUGAUUAAUGCGAUACUACCACCAUUCCCAAAAAAGUGGUGUUUCAAGGAAAAACAUAGAUUAGCUAAGAGCAUGGCUAAUAAUUAGCAAAUUUAUAAAAAAGAUAUCAAUAUUUCUAAUGGCAAAUAGGUGUCAUUAUAUUUUUAUGGUACGCAUUUAUAGUGUUAUAAUUGAUACUUUUUUUAUAUGAAUUUUAUCAAACCGUACAUAAUAUGACUAAAGGCAGAAUUUGAGUUCCAUCCUUUUUAGGUGGAAGUUUUUUUUUUUCUUUUUGCAGCAGAUGAGAUGGACAAGAACUGAGCAUAAAUAAAAUUUUUAAAAAAGAAAAGUUGCAGAGAGUCGACGACGGCAAGUCGAGAGCAUCUUCCCCACGACGCCAAAUCGCGGAGCGGCGGAUCACCCAGUUGUUUCCUUCCACGGACAACAACGCUGUCAAGGAAGAAGAAAAAUAUAAAAGAAACAGAACGUCUGAACUGUAGAGGACAAAGCUCUGGCCAUUUUAUAUAUAUCGAUGCCUGCUCUGGCUCUGGUCUCUCGCAACCACACCGUGCGCCCUUCGAACGCAUCUACUGGGCACCACCGGCGAGUCUUCUGCAUCCUCGAUGGAGAACCAUGGCCCCAAACCAAUCCGAUGCAAAGGUAUGCAGCUGGAUUCUUGAGCUCUGCCGCGUCAGUUUGGAUUCAGCUGCCUUAUGCGUUAGGCUUAUCUUAGUAGUGUUUUUUUCUCACCGUAAAUCAGCGAACAAUACUUUAAAUUAUGACUUUUCAUAUCAGCAAACAUGUGGCUUCGUCUUUCUCCCUUCCCAGCGGCCUUAGUCUAACCAGUCGUCGCUUCCCUUUCCGGUGACGAGCAGCGGCCGUGUGCAGGGCCGCCGGCGAGCCGCUGGCCAUCGAGGAGAUCGUCGUGGACCCGCCCAAGGAGCACGAGGUCAGGAUAAGGAUCAUCUGCACGUCGCUCUGCCACAGCGACGUCACGUUCUGGCGCAUGAAGGUUUGGCUUUCCUGCAAAUCGCCGGCCAUCGACCUUGUUGUGGCCCUCACCGCCGUGGCCUACACCGCCUCACGAGUGUCGUAUACUUCGUCUGUUUGUGUGAACUUUGCAGGAUUUCCCUGGCAUUUUCCCCAGAAUAUUUGGCCACGAAGCCUUCGGGUGAGUGCUCGCUACACAGUUCCUUGCCGCACAAAUUUUUUUUUCCCCUAUUGGUCACUCAAUUUCAACAGCGUUCGUUGACAAAAUAUGCCGUGUCUUUGUGUUUCCCGCCGUCGACUUUAUCAAAACUUGGGCCUUGUUUAGUUCACCAUAAAAUCCAAAAAGUUUUCAAGAUUUCCUAUCACAUCGAAUCUUACGGCACAUCCAUAAAACAUUAAAUAUAUACGAAAACAAAAACUAAUCACACAGUUUGACUGUAAAUCGCGAGACAAAUCUUUUGACCCUAGUUAGUCUAUGAUUAGACAAUAUUUACCACAAACAAACGAAAAUGAUACAGUAGUGAAAUCCAAAAAAUUUUCAUAUCUAAACAAGGCCUUGAAGGCUAGAGUGAUGUUUGACGUUGAAAUGCUACAUGUGUGUCGUCUUUCGUGGUUGUCUUUGUAACUGACGCUUCAUAAAAGAAAAACUAUAUAGCAUGGAAAGUUGAACUUUGAUGUAUACUGCUGCUCACCAAUUCACAUGUACAAAGUGGACAUAAUGCAAUUGUCAAAAGGUUCCGAUAAACUAAGCAUAACCAGUUUCGUCAAGAAACACUAAGUAUAUAAGGGUGAUAGAAACUAUGCACAUUUUUCAUAGCAAUUAUUAAUAUAAAAUUAUCUAUAGAAACUAUCCUCCACAAUGGAGUUGUCUUUGGGUAAUAAAUACACUCUCUUUUUUUCAAUGUCUCCUUAAUCUCUUCCUCUGAUGCGCUCUCUCUUCCCUGCUUCUCUCUGCCAUCCCAAGCACAGUGACAGGAAUCCUAUGCUCUCUCUUCCCCCUCGUUCUCUCUAGAACCAAAAGCAAUGGACACAGGAUCUGCAGCAACGUGUGUGUGGACGGUGGCUGACCAGCGUCCAGGCACGCGAGCUACACGCCACAUCCAUUGCGCCUGUGCAUCCUCCUCUCGAGUCGAUCUCCGACCUCUGCGCGUGUGUGGGCGGUGGCCGGCCGGCAUGCGUCCGUGCACGCGAGCUACAGGCCACAUCAGUUGCGCCUGUGCAUCCUCCUCUGAGUCGAUCUACAGCCUCUCCGACCUCUGCGCGUGUGUGGGUGCCUGGGCGGUGGCCGGCCGGCGCCACGGGCAGCGCGGACGAACGCGACGACACAGGCGAGCCUGGCCGUCACGCGUGACCGCGGCCGGUGCGGGCGAGUGCGUCAGGCAAGCUACUGCGGCCGGCACGGGCGAGCUUGGCCGUUGCAGGCGGCUCGAGCGAGCGCGUCCGGCAAGCGAGCACAGCGGCGCAGAUAAGCGCGUGCGAGCCCGAAACGGCUGGUUUCUUCCCAACGGGAAAAUCCUCGUUUCUUCGUGCCUCGAUUCAAUCGAAGACGUCGUUUCCCUACGAGGAAACAGUUUCCUCAAUUUUUUUUUCUCUUUUCUUAUUAAUUAGACUGCCACAUCAGUAUUUUGCUUAGUUGGCAAGUCAUUUAAUAGAGAUAGAAACCAUAAUUAAUUUUCCAUUGGGACUGCCCUAACCAGUAAAUGACAUUUGCGUUAGUACCGCGCGCUCACGCUUCGGCGAAUUCUGACGAGUAACAAGUUGCACGGUGACGUUGGGUACUGUAGUGAGUAGUGAGAUAUCAUUGAAGUUAACUCAGAAUUGACUGCACAACUGAAAACCUGCAUUGUUUAGCUCAAGCUAAGUCAACUGUCGAAUCUCUUAGCAAGAGGACGUCAGCAGCGUUAGUGUUCAUAUUAGGUGGAAUGUAGUGUAUUUUUUUCUGUAGCUGCAAACCAAACAACAUUUGCUACUUAUUCCCUUUUUUGCAGGUAAUAUAAAAUACCCUACUGAUUAAAAUCAAGAGAAAAAACAUAUCAGCUUGUAUAUAAAAAACUUGGCAUAGUUCGGGGUGUAAAAUUUUAGGGUGUCAUAUCGAGUGUUACACAGUGGUGUCGCAUGGAGUGUUCAAUACUAAUAUAAAAUAAAUUACAAAAUUUGCAAGAUGAAUUUAUUAAGCUCAAUUAAUACGUCAUUAGCACAUGUGUUACUGUAGCCUUUAUUAUCAAACCAUGGACUAAUUAUGCUCGCAAUAUGUGUAAUUAGUUAUUUUUUAGUCUAUAUUUAACACUCUGUGCAUGUGUCUAAACAUUCGGUGGAUAGGGUGUAAACUUUUGGGGAGGAACUAAACAAGGUUGCGCGAGAGAUGGGUUGUUUCCAUACAAGUUGAUUUUUUUUUCUAGUUACAUUAGUGGUUCUUGUUUGAAAAAGAAUCUUAGUAGUAUUAUUAAUUAAAUUAUCACAUCGCCAAUAAUAACUAGUGGGUACAAUCUUUUUUCUAAAAAUAUACAUACCCCUAAUAUUAUAAAAGACAUUAAGUAAACUCCAAAUUUGCUAAAUAAUCCACAUCCAUCGCUAUGAAAAAUAAAUGAAAUAACCCUUUAAAUCUACAUCUAAAUUGUCUACCUCUACAAAAACAUAAUUUAAAAUAAUCCCUAAAUUUUCAUCUAAAUUUUCUACAUCUUCCAUUGUGAAAGAUUAUGCAAAUUUGCCUAAAAUUUACUUUUCAAUUGCCCACAAACACUAUUACAAAAGGAUAAUUAAAAAAAUCCUUUAUUUUGUUUCCGAAUUAACCUCCUCUGCAUUAUAAAAAUAAAAUACCCCUCAGAUCUGUUAGGAACUUCAACUGAAAAUGUGUUCGAAGCAAUUGACAUGCCCCCACCAAAUUUGUUUGGAAUUUGAGAGAUCCAUGGCAGUAAAGGAAUUGAUGCAUUCCUGACAUAGCUAAAGGACUAGCGGCUUAGUGGAUUGUCAUCAGGAGCCUGCUAAUCGGAACCUGGUCACAAGCUGAUACUGGCAUGCCUGUGCAGGGUUGUGGAGAGCGUCGGCGAGCACGUGGAGGAGUUCGCCGCGGGCGACGCCGUGGUGCCGACGUUCCUGGGGCAGUGCAGCGAGUGCGUGGACUGCAGGUCCGCGCGGAGCAACAUGUGCUCCAAGUACCGGUUCGCGGUGCGCCCGGGGAUGCCGCGCGACGGCACCACCCGGUUCAGCGACGCCCAGGGGCGCCCGCUCCACCACUUCCUGGGCGUGUCCAGCUUCGCCGAGUACACCGUGGUGGACGUGAACCACGCCGUCAAGGUCAACCCCGCCAUGCCGCCGGCGCUCGCCUGCCUGCUCAGCUGCGGCGCCUCCACUGGUUGGUGCCGCAGAUGACACAUUUGCUUGUUGCUGUGGCGCAUCGUUGGUGAUAUUUAACUCGAUCGGACCCAAGAAAAUCGCAGGUGUCGGAGCCGCAUGGAAGCUGGCGAAAGUUGAGCCUGGAUCUUCGGUCGCUAUCUUUGGCCUCGGCGCUGUAGGAUUGGCGGUUAAGUAACACAUUCAGAGCUCCACGUUUUUCUUCAUUUAUUACUACCAAUAUGUACACUACUCAGAAAUUCAGAGUUUGACACCAACACUUAACUGAGAUUUAACCUCUGUCUAGUAUUCAGCUGUCGUUUCAAAAAGCGAAGUAUUUAGUUGAGCACAACUCGUAGUAUAUAUAUCCUCCUUGAUGACAGAAUAGUUAUUUUUGUAUACGUAGCAAAAAAAGAGUUUCUUCACACUGUGAUUGUAGCUUUCGUCUUCUACAAAUGUCAAAAAAAAAAGUUUUCUGGGCACUACAAUGCUGAAUACUAAUAUUUGAAAUUUUGACAUGUAGGUAGCUGAAGGAGCCAGGAUUUGUGGGGCGUCAAAGAUAAUAGGCGUGGAUAUAAACCCUGAUAAAUAUGAACUUGGCAAGCCUUUUGUUUCUACCUUGAUUGAGACUGUUCUGAACUUCAUUACUUCAACUUCUUAAAUGCAAAGUUCUGACGCACUUCGUCCACUGUUUCUUCCUGCAGGCAAGAAGUUCGGCAUGACACAUUUUAUCAAUCCAAAAGAACUUGGCGAGAAACCUGUCUACCAGGUGAUCACCCGUGUUCUUGCCAUUUGCAUCUCAUUUUUUUUAGUAGCAGUAGGGGUGAUCUUCCCCCAAGUGCCCAUCUUUUAAUCACAUUUUUUCUCUCUCAGCCUUAACAUCACAUCCUGUUUUGGUUGUCAACAGGCGAUCGUCGAGAUGACUGACGGUGGCGCGGACUACUGCUUCGAGUGCAUUGGACUGGCAGCGCUGAUGAACGACGCAUUUCAGAGCUCCCGAGAGGUAUGCACACUACACUCGUGGCGCCACGCUGCUACUUGAAUCGAUCUUGUGUUAUGAAUGCCCUACCCUUUUGUGUUUAUUUCGUUCAGGGGUGGGGCAAGACGAUCAUUCUUGGAGUGGAAAUGCACGGCGCCCCUCUCGCUGUCUCUUCUCAUGAGAUCCUCCGCGGGAAGUCUGUCAUUGGGUCCAUGUUCGGAGGGGUGAAGCCUAAGCAGGACAUUCCCAUUCUCGCAGACAAGUACCUGAACAAGGUACAGCUAAAAUCAGACAUACCGAGCAUAGUGUCACCAUUAUAGUUCCAGUCUUGGCUUUGUAUGCAUGGACUCCUGGCAUUUUGUUGCAGCGAUAAUCUUUCUUGGUUUACCUCUGUUUAGGAGCUGGAGCUUGACAAGUUCAUAACCCAUGAAGUUGGCCUCAAUGACAUCAAUGAAGCUUUUGACCUGCUGCUCCAAGGGAAGAGUGUCAGGUGCACCAUAUGGAUGGACAGGUGAUGCAACUAGAGUUUCGGAACCGAACGUGAAGCUGCGCUGUGAUGCUUGCGCCUCUUUCAGUGGAAAUUAAUGGUUUAGCAGCUGCCAAAAUAAAUGUUCUCUGUAUUGUGCAUUCGAGUUUUCCAUUCUUUUUCUUUACGUUCAAAUGUCAAACUAGACCUGAUUAACGUUCCCACAUUUUAAAUUGCGGCUCUAUCUAGUUAUUUUUCACAACCUGCCAUUCUUGAUGAACAUUUUUUGCCGUUCUUGAUGAACAUUAGUAAAGUAUUAAUGAUGGACUAUAUGUGUCAUUGAUAUAGUAAACUCAACACAGCACGUCUCUAUCCCUUAAUAGAGGAACUCACCGUGAGGAAUCCGAUAUCGGAGCCCAUUGAUAUCCCUAAUUCUAUGAGGCUUUGUAGCACACGUGAAGCUCAAUUGCUCCAAAUAUAGUAGUAGUGCUUAUAUGUACAAACUAUAGCUGGAGCCACCAGUUCAGGCAGGAUUGCAGGUAAACAUAUCAUUCGCUCCAAGUUUAGAUUGGCAUUCCACACCACAGGUUUAGCAAAACCUGCAAAUCCACGCAUGCAUGCGACGACGUCCCCCCUUUUUAUCCUCUCCUUCCUCGGAAUGCCUCAAAUUUUAGCGCAUUUCCACUCGCCGAUCCCUCCAGGGUCCAAGAUCCCUUGCUCCGAUCGCCGUGCAGCAUUUCAAGAACCGCUCAAUCCGUCGAGGACGAGAUGCAGGAAAGCCGGCGGGACAUGGAUCAUCAGGUCGCCCAGCUUCGGGGCGAGCUGCGCAAGGUGCGCGACGAGCGAGACCGCGCGCACCGCGUCCUGGAGGUGACCGACUGGAAGGCGCUGGCUUCGGCCAAUGACCGCACCGCGAUUGAGACGCUCGAGGCCGAUCUCGCCGUGUCGCGGGAAUCCGAGAAACGGAUGCUCGACUCGCUGGCGACGCAGACGAAGCAGCUGGAGCUCACCAAGAUAUCGCUCGAGGAAGCCAAGCUCCAGAUCGCGUCGCUGCAGGACACCGUCCAGAGGCUGGAGGCCGACAGAAGCCCCCUCGCCACGACGCCGAGGAACCGGCGCGACCGCGACAUGCAGAGGGUUCACGGCGAGCUGCGGGUGGCCCUGGCGGCGGAGGAGAAGAGCAAGAAGGCGAUGGAGGAGUUCGUGCAGGCGCUCAAGGAGGUGAACGCGGAGCUGCACACGACGAAGCAGCAGCUGGCGCGCGCGCAGCACGAGGCGGAGUCGGCCAGGCUGGACGCCGACCGCCUGCACAUGUCGGCGAAGCGCAAGGACGAGAAGCUCCGGGCGCUGUCGGACGAGGCGGCGCGGCUCCGCGCCGAGGCCGAGGAGUCGUUCACCACGUGGCGGGGCAAGGAGGCCGGGUUCACGGCGUGCAUGAAGUCGACGGAGGCCGAGCUCGACGAGGCGCGGCGCGAGAACGCGCGGCUCCUCGAGUCGCAGCGCUCCUGGCGGGCCGAGGUCGCCAAGCUACGGGACAUCCUGAAGCAGGCGGUGAAGGACACCAAGGUGGCGAAGGAGGCGCUGGAGGAGGCAAGGAGCGAGAACGCGCUGCUCAAGGGCGUGCUCGGCGACAAGGACACCGCCGUGAAGUGCACGAAGCAGGAGCUGGAGUGCCUCCGGAUGAGCGAGGCCGCGGCGCGGGACAGCGUCAAGGAGCUGCAGAGCAUGCUCGUGGCGACGUCGUCGAGCCCCACGGCGGCCGCCGCCGCCGCCGCGGCUGCAAAGCUGGAGGCGGAGGAGUGCCAGACGCCGCGUGUAAGGGUAGGACCGCCGGGGCUGGAGAAGUACCCGUCGGACUCGAAGAUAAGUCCGCCGGCCGGAAUCACGCGACCGCGGCGGCUGUCGGAGACAUACGAAGGUUCGGCGUACGACAUAUUUGGCACGAUGGACGACCAGAAGGGUGUUGAUUUGGGCGUGUUCUCGUCGAUGCCGAGGUUGCCUGCCCGGCGGCGGGUGGUCCUUCGCAAGGUUGGCAGCUUGUUCAGGUGGAAGAGCUUCACUAACAAAUAGCCGCUGGCUGGGAAACAGGGCAGUGGCAACUGGUUCCUUUUUUGCUCUCCUAAUCUUGAGGGUGCUCCUGGAUUCUUGUGUGGUGUAUAUUACUGUAUUGGAGUAGUAUAUCAUAUCUGUGACAUCUUAAAAUUGACCAGUGUACACCGUGUUGAGAAUGCGCAGCUGAUAAGCUCAGGGUGAAACUGAGGAGUGUUGAAGGUGUCUACAGAAGUUGGAUGGGAAUCCAGGGCACUGCCCACCGGUGCUCCUUUUAGAACUCCGAAACACGGGAAUAACGCAUGUACACUUAUACUGCCUCUAUUUCAAAUUAUAAGUCAUUCUAAUAAUCCUGAAGAGUCAAAGCAUUUUCAAAUUUGAUCAAAAAUAUAGAGAGAAAUAUAAAGAUUUAUGUCAUAAAAUAGGUACACUAUAAAAAUAUAACUAACAAAGAAUUUAAUGAUACUUGGUUGAUACCAAAAAUGCUAUUAUUUUGCUAUAUACUCCCUCCGUCUCACGAUACUAGGCGCAACUCAAAAAUCACAAAGACCAAGGAGCAAACUAAUUAGCGCGUGCUCCUAAAAAUUUCUCUUGGGUUCCAUCUCCAUUUUAAUGCAUGCAACGUUUCUUCACGGCGCCGUUAGCCAAAACACCGAGCUACUCCCAUGCAUGCCUACACGCAGAUGCAAAUUACGGAGCUCAUCUAACGGAUGGGAGUAAAACGAGGAGGUAUAGCAAUCUGCAGUAAAUUGUGCAUGCAAAACAUGCUACUGCACUAGCUGUUGCAUGCAUCGGAAGAGUCUGGCGCCUUGUAUCCUGGGACUCACUGAAAAAGCAGUUGCGCCUAAUAUCUUGAGACGGAGGGAGUAAAUUUGGUAAAAUUUAAAAAACUUUGACUCUCUAAGAUUUUUGGAAUGACUUAUAAUUUAGGAGGAUGGAGUAUUUAUAAAUAUAUGUAAACUAAUUCAUUUAUAUAAAAACGUAGGAAACAGAAAAAAUCCAGCAUCUCAAAGAAGGCUUUAGCUCGGAGACCACAGAUGAUAAUUCAGUGUCACUUUGGAACGUAGAAUUUUCUUAGGAUUUAUGUAGGAGUUUCAGCGAAACGAGUUCAUUUCUAUAAAAAGGAACACCGGAGACGGGAGAGGGGGAGAUCCUGCAUUUCCAAGGAGACCUCAAUCCAAAGCGCAUGAAUGUAACCUCUUUUAUUUUUGAAAGAUCUGCUAUCGGCUUUCAUUGAUAAGUGAAGAAUAGUUACGAAUACAAGUUCAGGUGCAAGUAGCGCCACCCCUCUUUUUGCAUGGUUUCACAGAAUUUAACCUAAUCUCAGUGGAACCCUCACCGGAGCCAGAGAGGACAGAUCUCAAGAGGCAAUCACAGUAGCAACUCAAAUGCACAAAGAUCGAGUGAUUGUAAGCACCACAAAAGACACUAGCAAAAUUUCUAAUUCCCAAAACUUUACGUGGUUAUUAUUUAACCAUCACUUGACAGUCCAACAAAAUUCGAAUUUAGCAAACGGAUUUUAUUACAUUUUAUAUGCCCGGGGAAAAAAAGGCAGCUUUGUGUGAUGCAUAGUCGGAGCUGUACCUUAGGCGGCCCGUGCCAGAUCAGGUGACCAUAGUCUAGCCCAAAUUUUUUAGGCCCAAAAUAUACGGAGCGCACACGGCCCUGGUAACUCCCUCCUGAGUCCUGACUUCCGGCACGGACGCACGGUGACACGCACGUGAACCGGUUCCACGAUCUCGCCGCGCGACGGUGGACAACGCUGCCCACUGCCCAGUGCCCACCCGGUGCCGCACCGUAGUCCGUAGACCUGCUCUACAGCGCUCUGGAAACGGGAAUUUAGGUCGACGCGACGCAGUGACCCGCCACCGGUCUUGGUCCGCCAACAAGGCAAGAAUCCAGAGCACAGAGCCGCGCGUGCGGUGGCCGCCCGGCUUUCCACGUCAACGGAAGGGAAGGAAUUGUUGUGAGGGUCGCUCCCAGGUCCACAUCCGAUACACCGCCACACCGGUCGGUGGUGACACGUCCCAGUUUCAGGUGUGCAACCUCUGCAGCCGACAGUCACAACAACAGCGCUCUGCGCUGCGACCUGCCUACUAGCUUCAUUGCACUUGCACAACUUCCAGCGGCCGGUGUGCAUCCAUGUACUAUGUACUCUGUACUCUAUCAUCGAGCUGGUUGUGACGGUUGCCAGAACUCCAACCUGUAUAUUGUAUAGUAUCCGUGAAUAGCUCAUCCAAUCAAGCCUAAUCAAUCUGGUCCGAUAAUGAGCACAUGGUCAACUCAGUUUUCUGAUGUUCAUGUGUAUUUUAGAGGCUUGCACGAAGGGCAAGCAUUCCCUCGCCACAGAUUGUAAUAUAUAUCUUAUUCUUCCUUGACCGAGCGUACGUUUUUGUUUCGGUCAAAUACGUUUGUAUGAAAUAUUCCUGCCGGUUUCGUCAUGAAUGCAGAGUUGCGUAUGUGAACAAUUGUUCAUCAAACUCUGACUUGGCUAUCUAGAAACUGCACAACUAUAUGUUCCUAAAACUAUUUGAGCCCCGCUACAUUAAACCUAUGGCUUAGUCAGUUAGACACAGGCUGUUUGGACAAGCAACUAAUUUAAUUUAGAAUACAACUAGCAUUUCACUAAAUAAACCCUUCAAGAUAUAUUAAAAAAAUGGACAACAGAAAUACUGUGUCAAAUAAACACAGUUGACAAUAAAAUUAUGAGACUCCUCUUGCUACUCGCUUACACAGACAGAAAUGAUAAAAAAAAAUUACAAAAAAAAACACAUUGUUGGCAACUCCAUUUGUUAUUUAAUAUCGUAAUGUUUUUCCCACCGAUCGAAAGUAUACAAGUAUUGCAAACAAAUGUUGACAAGUGAAUGGUAUGUGUAUUUUUUUUGUCAAGGAACAGGAAUAUAUUAAUUAGCAGCAUGAAGCCGCAAUAAUGUUUUCAUCAGGCCAGUCUCAAUGGACAGUGUCACUGCACGGUUUCACAUACCAACACGUC
rnacentral:lncRNA from 1 species